AUUAUUCUAGCUUGGUAGCUUAAUUUACUGAUUGAUUGGUUGAUAAUUAGGAUUUCUUGUUUUUUUUGCCCUAAAAGUUAGUUUAUAUAUAUUUUUAAUUUUAUUUUUUGAUAUUUGUGGGAAUAUUUGAUCUGGGUCGGCUUUUCCUCGUAAUUUGAAAUUGGUUUCUUUGCUUGAAUCGAUAUUUACUAGAACUUAGUUGUGGGUUCUCAGUUUUAGGGAUUUACGGGGCAUGGGUGAUCUGGGUGAUGUUUUGACCUAAUUUUGGAUUCUACUGAUUGAUUAUGAUGGUGGUGUGUUGUAAAAAAUUUUUUAUGGGAGGCUCAGUUUCGGGUGACUAAUGUUACAAAAUGACCUGGGUUUUAUCUUGUUUUUUGUUUUAGAUACUUGCAUUGUAGGAUUGUGGCUUCUAAUGAAAUAAAGUUGCUUUUUAUUUUAUGUCUAGGGUAUUAAUGGGGAUCUUUGGUUACAUUUGCACUUCGCCUGUUCAUGAUUGUGUAGGUUAAAAGUCAAUUGAGUGUUACAUAGUUUUGUGGGAGUUGUGUGGGGAAUUUUUAUGUUGCUUGUGUGUUUGGGGGUCUAUUUAGUGGUUUAGUUCUGAAGCCGGUAGGUGUCACAUUCUUAGGGAUGUCAUGGGGUUUUUAAUUUGCUUUUGUUUCGUGGAAGAUAUCGGUUUUAUCCCAUAACUAUGAUUAACAUGUAAAUUAUAUUGGAUGUAUGGUUUCCUUGUUGUUAGAGCCUUUUUGCAUACUUGUUUUUGGAGAUGAGAAUAUCUGUAUUUCUCCGUUAGCGCAUCUCUGUUGCCACUCUCUUGUUUAAGGAUAGAAUGACAGAAUUAUGUUAUUAGAGUUCUAUUUUAUGUUACCUUGACUUGGCUUUUUUGGACAUAGAAUAGAUCAAUUUUCCAUCCGCCAAAUUACUCAAAUUAAGUUUGGGUUUCACGCAUUUGGUAACAUUUGAUCUGAGGACUUUAGCCUGUUAUGCAUGUAUGGUUCCCCUCCUUUCUACUUUAUAUUUUGCAUGGUGCAUCGUGCCUUAAUUUUCUAUAGAUAGGUCAAUGUUUUCAUCAAACCUUUUGCCUUAUCUUUCUAUAAAUAGGUCAACGUUUACGUCAAACUUUCCACCUGCUUGAGUAGCCUGUAGCUUGAUUAAAUUGAAAAAUUUUGUGUAGCAGAAAUAUUGAAACUUUAUUGCUGCUUUUAAUCUCUGUUUUAUGCUUGGAAUAGGUUGAUCAUUUUACGAGGUUUGAAGUGGGUUGGAAGUUUCUUGUCAUAUGACUCUAGCCUUGUUGGCUGAGUUGGGAUGUUGCUUUGUAAUAGAAAUCAUUGUGGGAGUCUAUGCAUUUGUGUUAGACAUAGACAUGGCGCCUGGGUCUUGUGUCAAUAUUUUAUUAACAUACUUUAUCCUAUUCUAUUUCAGGGCUUUUGUUGUAAGGGAUCAUAUUUAUUUCUUUCAUUUCAUCUACCCUCAUUAAGUUAUUGAGGCUUUUGAGAUUGAGUUAGCACUGACUUUAUAUCAAAUCUGAGACUUAUCAAGAAACGAUCAAAUUAGGUCUCUACUGAAGAGUUAAAUAUCUGAUAAUGGUCGGUGAUAACAUAGUCAUCUUGAGAAUAUUUGCAAAGCAUUUGGUAUUGACUAGAUGGCGUUGGUCAGUAUGUAGCAAGUUUUGAACUCAGUCUCCAGUGUUGUGCUUGGAGGCUUCAGUUACCAAAUUUGUUCAUGUCAAUUAGAUGUUGAGCUGGAGAUAAUUUUAAUUGAAAACAAUUUUUUGCUAGUAGGCUUUCUGGAAUACAUGUAGAGGCUCGAGUUUCUAGGUUUUGUUUGCGUAGAGGGAGGGAUGACAAUCUUGUCUGCAGAAUAGGCAGCCUUUUUGUUUGCCCUGCUGCUCUCUAAAAUAUCUUUACUGCUGAGAACCUAACCAAGAGGAGGGAGGAUUGUUGAGAACUACUGCUAUAUGGUUUAGUGAAAUAGUGGAAGUUUGUUGAUCAAUUGUUGUUUUCAUUGUGAGAUUGUUUGAACGAUUUGGACGCAAUCUUUUCUUUGUUUGGCCUGGGAUGGAGUUUUUGUGUUGUGGAGGUUGUUGGCACUGUUAUCUGUGGUGAUAACACAGAAAUGUAGCUUGGAAGACUGCUCCUAUUUGAUUGAGUUAGUGGUUUGGAAUGAAAGGAGUGGCUGACCUUUGAGAGUAUCUUCAAUCGUUAUCAUGACUUGAAUCUGACUUAUUAGAAGUUUAUUUGGCUCUUUGGAAGGCUUCACUAUUUGGUUCUUUGGCAGCGUCCCCUUUCCUUUGGCCACUUGUAUUGUUGAUUUUCUUAGAAUUUCUCUUUCCUUAAGUUUUCCUUUCCUUGUCGCUCCGCACUCACGAUUUUUAGAGGGCACUGAAAUUGAAAAUUAUCUUUACCUGUCCAUGUUAUUUUUUAUCUGCUGUUACUUUCAUUAUGUGACUUAGUCUUGUAAUCUGACAAAUAGGAUUAAAAAAAAUGUGCAGGCUCGAAUUAAAAAGAUAAUGCAAGCUGAUGAGGAUGUUGGGAAGAUAGCAUUGGCUGUCCCUGUUCUAGUUUGUAAGUAGCCGUGGCUGCUUGGCCUUAUUUUCUUGCAACAUCAAUGCUUUUGUGUUAUUUAUUCUCUUUUUGGGUAUUCUUGUAGCAAAAGCUUUGGAAUUAUUUUUGCAAGACCUUUGUGAUCGUACAUAUGAGAUAACCCUUCAGAGAGGAGCAAAGACAAUGAGUUCCUUGCAUUUGUAAGUGUCAAUAACCUUCCUUUGCUCAAUUCUUUUCUUCUUUAGCUGUAAAUGUGAUUAAUAUGUGAACUUGAAGUUGGACUCUGUAUUUCAAGAUGUUCUCGUCAGUAUCAAUUGUUAGGUUCUUGGGGAUUGUUACAUUCCCCUUUGUUUUGUACGAGCAACUUUAGAUUAAUAGAGGGACUAAUUAAAUAUAGACUUCAAUUGUUAUGUAGUUGCCGGGGAAAAAAAAAAAUGUAGUUGCUGAAUAAAUCAUCGAUCGAGGUAUAUGAUCUAAAGCUUUUGCCUUAAUGUUAGGUGUAGCAGAAUAAUAAGUUGUGUAAGGCAAAUUACAGAUUAAUACUUUUGUUUAAUUCUUGAGUUUCAGGUAAAAGGAAAUGUUUAUACAAUUGUCCACAUGGCAAAGAAUCUUCUGUAGAUAAAUUGCAUUUAAAAGUACGCGUUUAUCCUUUUUGCUUCUACUUUUAAAUUCCUGAAGAAUUACUUACCUGCUAGACCAUUGAAAUUUGUGAAAAUAUGGUUAAAAAAAAUGGCCUACUAACUGUGAUUGUUUCUCAGAACUAAAUUAUCAUUAAAGGUCAGUUUCUGGUGUGUAUGGUUCCACUAUGCCUAGAUGUCUUGGUCACUUGUAUCAAAGCUGAGUGCAUGAGAAGUAUUCUGAUUCUUGCAUAUGUUUGACUGAGGAGGUAACUAUAGUUGGUGUUUUUUGUUUCACUGGAUGUUAUGUCGUGAAUCAUGAAUUGUUUGAGGUCUUUUUUACACAUAUAAAUGACUUCUUAUUGUGUCAUGCAAUGUAACUUACCCAGAAUUAGAAAAUUGGUAAAGUAGAAAAGAAGAGACUAGAUUUGAUCUUAGCUUUCUCUGACAAACAUUUGUGAGUUUUUCCUUCAUAAGAAUUAUCAAUAUGUUUGAUAAUAGCACCUACCAGCCAAAAGUAUGAUAAGAUAACUGAGUCAAUUUGAUAAUUAACCAUAGGAAGUGGUUCUUUAUUUGAGAAAUGUGCAUAUCGAGCUGGUAAUAUAUUUGAGAUUGAUAGCGCAGCAUGUUAAUGUUGUUUGAUGGAAUCAAUAAUAUUCAUGAAGUUAAUCUGAGCAAUGCAAAAAGCUUGAAGUCAGAUGCCUUGGAUAAUGAAUUAAUUAAUGUUUUUUUUUUAAGUUAUCUUCCAAGACUCUUUUAUCUGAUUUGAGUCAUUUGUCUCUGGUUUAUGUCUGCUUGUGAUCAACAAUUCUUCAUUUUGCUUCAAUGUUUCAGAGUAUGAUCGAAGCCUGUAUAAUGAGAUUCAAUUAAACUAGGCAUAGUUCUUCAUAGUUAUACCGUAUGAAGAAUCUGUCUAAUAUUAAAUGGCGGGCAGUAGUCAACUUUUCUUAGCAUGCUUUGUCCUUGCUAGGGCAACUUAACAUGGUAUCAGAGCUAAAUUGACUUAAUCUUGUGUUCAGUCUCCUUGUUGAAUUAAUUAAUUUAUGAAAUUGGGGAAUGGUAAAAUUGUGCCAGCCACUUAAAAGAAAGUGAUGGAGAAAUUGUGUAAGACUGGCAGCCUCAAAGCUGUAAGAAUUCAGGAGUAUUUGGGGACUAUAUAUAUGAAGAGAAAACCUCUUAUUAGUGGAAAGCAGUUUACAAAUAGAGGAUGUGUGUUGAGGCAACAUUAUUAUGGCCCCGCUUGCUACUACGGUGCGGUAGCUUUUAAGCCACAGCUGCUGUAGAAAAAAUGCUGCUUUUAAAUACUAAUUUUUACAAAAGUAGCAAAUAUAUUGUAGAUUUUUCAUCAUGACUGUAGGAUCAAAUCAACAUAGCUUCCAAGUCAUAGCAGCCACUGUUUACCAAACAAUUAAGAUUUUAAAAGAGUGUUUUAAGUGAAAUUGAGCGUGCAAAUAAGUGUUCAAAGUAGAUUUUGAGUACAAAUAAUCCACCCAUAAAAAUAUCAUGCACUACAAGAUGAGUGACAUUGCUCACUACAAAUUAAAAAAAAAAAUCAUAUAUUCAUGAGAAAUAUUAAUAUAGGCAUACCAAAUAGUCUCUCGAAACUACUAUAAGAUUUUCUUUGUUCAUUCGAAUUCUUUCUUAAUCAUUUGGGGAAAUAGGAGAGUCUGUUUAUUUAUUUGAUUUGAUUUGAUUAAUUAUUUUGAUAGAAAUUAUAUUAAAUUAUAUAGAGACAGUGAUGGGUUUUCCUUGCUUGUAAUGUUUGACAGGCUAACAGCAAGAAAAGCUUACACAAUUAAAUCGCAAAAUAAGUGCGCUUCUAUAAUUUGUUUACUAUUUUAUGAACAAAAGAAGAAAAAGAAAAAAUUCCAAAGUUAAAAUCUUCUAUGCGCUGAAGGAAAGAGAAAUGACAAUUUGUACGAACAACAGAGCUUUUGAAGUGGAGUCUACCUACUGUGUGACCCAAAAAAGCCGUAUCUGGAUUUAAUAAACAAAAGCACUUUUAAAGUUACAAAUUACUGACGAGAAUGAGACCCUAAAAUUGAGAACAUAGAAGAGAGAGUACUUUCAAGUCUCAAUUAAAAUGUAGAGAAAAAGAAAAGAAAAAAUUGUGCUUGUAAUAGAGCUCAUCUCUCAAGCCAACAUUUCUAGCUAGCAAAGGAUGGAAGGAAUGAUUUUAGAUAAUAUAUUUUCAAUAAAUGAAAUUUUUUUUUCCAGUUUGAUGAUUGCAAAUAACAUUCUUUACUUCCACUCUUUAGUAUUAUUAUUAUUAUUAUUAUUUUUAAAAUUUAACUCUUUAAUUCAUGUUCUUGUUCUCGCGAAUGUGUUUAGUCAAUUUCGUGAUCAUCUCAUCAAAUCCCUAACGUUAACAUAACCAUAAUCUAUUAAUGAAAUUUAUUUAUUUUCUAUAAUAAUAAUCAAAAUGAAUAUUUGUUCAUGUAAUUUUAUGAUGAUGAGUUAUCAUUUUUUCUGUUAUACAUAAAAACAAUUUGUAAAUAAUGGCCACGUUGAACUAAUAACGCAACAACGCUUGUGGGAACAAAUUGAAUAAUAAAAAAUUUAAAGCAGCGAUUUGGCAAUACAAAAUUGAAGAACAGAAAAAUUAAAAAUGAAAAGGUAAGUAACCCUAAACUAUCUGUGGUGGCCCACUAACAAAGCUCUAAAGAGCUAUCACUUUAUCUUGACUUAUCAAUUAUUUACUAAUAGGUUCAUUUUUGUUGCACGCCCUCUUGAUAGAGUCAAAAUUUUACCUCGCCAUGCUCUUAAGUUUUUGAUAUUUUACCGUGUGAGAUUAUCAGGAGGGGAAAAUUUCAAAGUACUUCCCUGCACACACGGUAAAAUCUCAAAGACUUGAGAGCAUGACGAGGUAAAAUUUUGACUCCAUCAAGAGGGCAUGCAGCAAAAAUGAACCCAUUAGUAAAUAAUUAAUAAGUCAAGAUAAAGUGAUAGCUGUUUAGAGUUUUGUUGGUGGGCCACUACAGACAGUUUAGGGUUACUUACCUUUUCUGUUCUUCGAUUUUGUAUUGCCAAAUCACUGCUUUAAAUUUUUUGUUAUUCAAUUUGUUCCCACAAGCGUUGUUGCGUUAUUAGUUCCACGUGGCCAUUAUUUACAAAUUGUUUUUAUGUAGAACAGAAAAAAUGAUAACUCAUCGUCAUAAAAUUACAUGAACAAAUAUUCAUUUUUAUUAUUAUUAUAGAAAAUAAAUAAAUUUCAUAAAUAGAUCAUGGUUAUGUUAAUGUUAGGGAUUUGAUGAGAUGAUCACGUAAUUGACUAAACACAUUCGCGAGAACAUGAAUUAAUGAGUUAAAUUUUUUUUAAAAUAAUAAUAAUAAAGAGUGGAAGUAAAGAAUGUUAUUUGCAAUCAUCAAACUGAACAAAAAAAAAAUUCAUUUGUUGGAAAUAUAUGAUCUAAAAUCCUUCCUUCCAUCCUUUGCUAGCUAGAAAUGUUGGCUUGAGAGAUGAGCUCUAUUACAAGCACAAUUUUUUCUUUUUCUUUUUCUCUACAUUUUAAUUGAGACUUGAAAGUACUCUCUCUUCUAUGUUCUCAGUUUUAGGGUCCCAUUCUCGUCAGUAAUUUGUAACUUUAAAAGCGAUUUUGUUUAUGAAAUCCAGAUACGGCUCUUUGGGUCACACAGUAGGUGAACUCCACUUCAAAAGCUCUGUAGUUUGUACAAUUUGUCAUUUCUCUUUCCUUCAGCGCAUAGAAGAUUUUAACUUUGGAAUUUUUCCUUUUUCUUAUUUCGUUCAUAAAAUAGUAAAUAAAUUAUAGAAGCACACUUAUUUUGCGAUUUAAUUGUGUAAGCUUUUCUUGCUGUUAGCCUGUCAACCAUUACAAGCAAGGAAAACCCAUUAGUGUCUCUAUAUAAUUUAAUAUAAUUUCUAUCAAAAUAAUUAAUUAAAUCAAAUCAAAUAAAUAAACAGCUCCUCCUAUUUCUCCAAAUGAUUAAGAAAGAAUUCGAAUGAACUAAGAAAAUCUUAUGGUAGUUUCGAGAGACUAUUUGGUAUGCCUAUAUUAAUAUUUCUCAUGAAUAUAUGAUUUAUUUAUUUUUAAUUUGUAGUGAGCAAUGCCACUCAUCUUGUGGUGCAUGAUAUUUUUAUGGGUGGAUUAUUUGUACUCUAAAAAUCUACAUUGAACACUUAUUUGCUUUGCACGCUCAAUUGAUAAUAUAAAAAUAUAAGUUUUCACUUAACACCCUCUUUCAAAUUCCUAUAUUGUUCCCAUUCACUACUAAAAAGCAUUGAUUUAUGAUAGAUAUCGUUGCGUCACGAAUCCAUCGUAGAAGCAUAAUAUUUUUGUGACAUAUAAAAUAUAUAUCAAGAAUUUAUGACAUAUUUGUGACUCAUAGCUUAAUGAUAUAAGCCGAUGAUAGAUAAGAGUCAUGCUUGAAUUUACUAUUAUUACCAAAUUAAAACGACACAUUUAAAUUCAUGACAGAUAUCGUCGUUUGAUGAGCAUGGUAGAUAUCAUGAAUUGAAAUGGUGCAAUUUUUAUAAGCUAGUUAUUUUAUUUUUUAAAGUCUUAAGGGCUUGUUUGGGUUAGCUUUUACUUCUACUUAAAAGUAAAAGAUAAGUAAAAGCAUCGUUGUCUUUGCUUUUUCAACCUUGGGUAAUAAACAGGAAACAAGGGCUUAUUCAAAAUUACUCACCCAUCAAUCACUUAAUUAAAAUAGACCAAUUGGCCACUAACCAUUUUCUUGUUCACUACAUUUUGUAAGAAAUAAACAAUUCAGUUUGUUUAGCUGAACAUAGAAUGGCACCCACCAUGCAGUCAUGAGGUUCUGUUUUAUAUAUAAUGAACCAUCUCUGAUCAGUACGAGGUUUGUAAAAAUUUAUCAGGAUGCUAUCUGGUCCUUGAGUAAAAAGAGCUAGUCAUCAUCAGAACUAGAUUCUAGAAUUUUUGGGGUCAAGUUCAUACUUAUUUGAUUGGCACAUUUCUUAUCAGAAAAAAGGAUGUGAGAGUAAUAAAGAUAAUGAUAAUGGCAGAGUAAUAACAAUAAAAUGUUAUGCAAAAUCAUAUUUAUCUAAAUGACAAGUGAAACUGAAUAUGAUAGGUAAGAUUCCCUGGCCAAUAAUGAACCAAGGUUAUAUUUUUUAUGUUUUAUGUCAUUAGUCUCUUAUGCUUCUUAUAUGUAUAACAUUCAGCUAUGUUGGUAUUAUCAUAUCUCUUUUGGGGAGAGAAGUGAUAUAGAUGCACUAUUAAUGUAGGAAACUAUUAUAGUAAAAAUAUUGUAGUUUAAUUAAACUUUUUAUGUAACUUUAUCUAGCAAUAUAACUAUGACUAUAGAAAGCAAAAAGUUUAUAAACAUUUUAAAUAAUAUGCUUGAAAAAUCAAAUAUUUAUAAUAUUACCUCUCAAAAUACCAUGCAAGAGUACCAGUAACAAUAGUGGUGAACAUGAAUGAGUGAGCCACAAGUAUGGCUAAAUGCAUCAUGUUGUUGCCCCAGCUACUUAAGUAUGUCUGCACCAGCUGCAGAAAGUAAACUUUUUAUCUGUCCAAAAUCUUUUUGUCAUAAUGAUAGUAUACUUUUUGCGAUUGGCACGGACAUACUUGAGCAGUUGAUGGGCAACAACAGGAUGCAUUUGGCCAUACCGAUGGCUCACCCUUUCACGAUCGCCACCGCUGUUACUAGUACUUUUGCAUGGCAUUCCGAGAGGUAAUAUUAUAGACUAUUUGAUGUUUCAAGCAUAAUGUUUUUAACACCGUUUAAAACGUUUAUAAAGCUUUUUCUUUUUGCCGUGAUAGUUAUAUUGCUAGAUCAAAUUACACAAAGAAUUUAAUUAGAUUAUAAUAUUUUUACUAUAAUGGAUUCCUACAUUAAUAGUGUAUCUAUAUCACUUCUCUCCUCAAAGGAGCUAUGAUAAUACCAAUAUAGUUGAAUAUUAUACAUAUAAGAAGCAUGAGAGACUAAUAGUAUAUGAAACAUCAAAAAUAUAUCGUUGGGUCGUUGUUGGCCAAGAGGUCUUAUCUAUUAUAUUUAGUUUCAUUUGUCAUUUAGAUAAAUAUAAUUAUGCGUAACAUUUUAUUGUUAUGCAAUGUAUUUGUAAUUUCUUGUAAGUAACGGGACUUAUUUUGUUAUUAUGUUGGCAGACUCAUUUAAAUCAUCAAUUUCCACUUCUGUUGACUAAUACAGCUAUUAUCGGUUUCUUUGCAGCAAUCCAUGUUUGUUUGCAAUUUAUGAGCAAAAAGAUUUGGGCAACUGGAUAUUGAGCUUCAACAUUAGAUUGUUAGCAGUUAUCAUGUCGGUAAGUCUUUUAUAAUCAUAUACUUAGCUAAUAUAAAAAAAAAUUAAUCGUAAUGUGAGAUAUUUUAUAUAUAUAUACCUAGGUAUUUUGGCUUCUAGUUUGAACACUGUGUAUGCAUGUUGGUGACGAGAACUCUUAUUUUGUAGCAAUAUUUAGCCUCUUCAGCAAGUUUUUUAAAUCGUCGUAGCUAUUUAUUUCGUAUCUAAAUAGGUAACAAUUUCUUUUUUCUUUUUUUUUUCCUUUUCCUUCUGUAAGGAACAUCUAAUAUUUGAAUUUAUCUUCAUUUUUCAUGGCUAGAAAUUUUGAGUUUCAGCCUAGUAGUUGGAUUGGUAAUUGUUGGCGUGAUGUUUGUCUUUCUAUGGGCAGAUAAAAAGGGAACCAAAAAAAAAAAAAGACAAGAACAAGUAGUUGAAUAUAUAGAGCUAGCUAGAGAUAAAAUUGAACCAGCAGGAGAAGCUAUUGGAGAGAUGACAGAGAUAUUAUAAUUUUCUUAUUUUAUUUUAAUCGUAUUGGAAUUUGCUAUGAGGAUACUUUAUCUUUGAUUCUCGGUAUUAAAAAAAUUCAAUAUAUUUAUUGUUGUUAUAUAUUAUAAACUUUUCUAUUCUAAUUGAUAUAGUUUAAUUGAUUUAUUUGACAUUUGCAGCUUUAGUAUCCUUGAAAUUGCAUUUGAGUAUUGAGAGACUUGAGUUCGAAGAUGAAAAUUGGUGUGUAAUGUGAUUUUUUUAUAUCUACUCGAAUUAGAAACUUAAAAGUUUGGGCCAAUUUGAGAAGAAGGCUUGUUUAUGCUAAUUCAUCACAGCUUCUCCAGUAACCGACAACAAAACUAACAAGGUGAAAAUCAAAUCUUAUCGCUAUAAGAUUGCUGAUUUAAUUUGAAUAAGUUUUUAAGUGUCCUUAGUAGCUUGUUAUUGCUAAAAAAAUCACAAGAAAAUGAUUGCAUGUAAACUAUAGGGUUAUCUAAUUUCUAUGUACUGUAAUUAGUAACCAAAAUAAUUUUUCCGUCUAAAUUAUUACUACCAGAGACUUACAGAUGUCGUCAACUUAGUUCACUUUUUAUUUUUCUAUUUUCAGUUUGUUUGAUGUGGUGAAAAUAAUGAUAUAACCACAAACUCUUGUACAAAUUUAUUUUGUACAAAUUGAUGUAGCAUGAUAAAAUUGGUUGAAUUAAAUAUUUUUUUGCCCACAUAAUUUAUUUAUAUUAUUUCAUGAUUUAUUUAUAUUAUUUUAUAUUUUCAUUCAACUAAUGAAUUAAUAACACGUUAGUUUGUAUAAGAUAAAUUUGUAAAAGAAUUUAUGGAUGUAUCAUCACUCUUAUAAAUAUUAGCAUACUAAGGAACAAUUGGAAAACUAAAAAAGUUUACACUUACGGUUUUGUAUGACAUGAGGUUGAAGUUGUAUAAAAUAUCAUCAUUUGUUCCAUUGAGCCUUGUGUUUGAAAAUUGUGUUACUUUCUGGUGUAAUCUGAGCUUGACUGUGCGUGAUAAUUAUUUUUUUUUAAAGGGUGAUCCUAAGUUACGUUAAACGUAACUUACAUUUUUUGUCUUUUCUUUCAUGGCAAAGUUCAUAUGAGUCCUUUUAUUUUUAAUUUUUUUUAUAAUUGUGGAUGUAUUUAUCUCCUUCCAUCAAUUAUACAUAUGUUCUUCAUUCUUUCUAAAGUUCUUUUUAUUUCUUUAAAUAAUAGUAUAUGAUUAUCGAAUUCAUACAAAUUCAUGAAUUCAGAAUAAAUUUCUGGUCCUAAAUUUAUUACUCCUAUUCGUUCUUGCUCUAAUAAAUCUAUCUUUUGAUUUAUUAAAUUUAUGUAAGUUGUUAUUCUAUCUUCCCAUCCUAGAUUCAUACGAUCUAUGGCUUCAGCUAAUUCAUUUAUUACAUUAAAUGCAUGUUGAUUCAUGGUAAUGCUUCUUUUUUAUACCAGUAUACUAAAAAUUUUAUAAAUUCAUUUAUAAAUUUCAUUUUCUUUUCUAUCAAAAUUUCUCCUCCUAAGGUGUCUAUGGAUCUUUCUUGCAAUUCUUGGGUUAAUUCAAGAUCAAUAUUUCUAAUGUUAUUUUUCUCUGUCUUUAUGGAUGUUAUCAAAGUUUUUAUUUCCUCUUUGUCAAAUACCUUUAAGUUGUAUAAGUUGUCACAGAUGCCUUUUAUUGGAUCCAUUUUUUUAUAUAUUAGUUCUAGAAUUUUUAUGAUUCUUUUCGGACUCUUAUGGCUUUGAUACCAUUUUGGGUGUGUGUAUUUAAACAGAAAAUAACUGAAAUUAAAAAUUAAAUAAAAAUAAUGAAAUUAAAAACGGCUACUGAGAAAGUAAAAAUGUCAAUAUUAUUAAAAUAGAUUUACAAGUUUUAAUUCUAGUGUUUAUUAUUAAAUUAAAUCAAACAGAAGUACGUGGCUUGUUGACCAUCAGUGCGGACCAGACUAGUGCCCAUUCGGGUUCACCUCUGGAACUUAUGUCGAUGGAUUCCCGCCUAUAUACCUCUUUAUAUUUUUCAAGUUGUAUGUCCAGUUCUUCAUUAUCUAAAUUUUCUAUAUCUGUUAUGUAAGAUGGUCCUAUUCCUAGACUUUCAUGUUCCAUAUAUGCUAAGGCUAUGUCAAUUGCUUGUUCUACAGUUAACAUGAUUAUGUUAUGUUUUAGAUUCUCUAUUUCGAUAUGAUUUAUAAUUUUUCGUUUUAUUUCUUGUGGUAGAUUAAGACUAUAUACUACUUGUAAGUCUUAUGUUCUAACAAGUUCUUGUUUACUAACAAGAUAUGAGCCCUGUCUAAAUGAUCCUAAGUUAAAAUCUAUUAUCAUCAUAUAAUUAUUAUAUGUUAUUCUAGUUGUUGGGUUUACCAUAUAUUUUUUAGAUUUUCCUAACAAAAUAUAGUUAUUCAUGUUGAAUCAAUUUAUUCAAAGAGUUUCACUUAUGAGAAUUUGCUAUUCCUCCAUAAAUCUCUUCAUCAUCAAUCAUCAACAAACUUCCACCAACCGAUAAAGAUUGAGAAUUAUUACCUAAGUUAUUCUUGUUUCUUUACCUUUCGAUCAUUCUCCAGUGACCUGCAGCCUGGUUGUCCUUAUUCCCUCAACGACCUCCUUGCCUCAACGGGAUCAGCGGACUCGAGCGGCCUUACUGUAUGGAUCUCGAUCGUUGUGCUUAGAAACGUUGAAUAAUUUUAGGUUUCUCUUUCCUUUCUGUGGUGUUUAUUUGUUCUGAUCAGUGAUGUAUUGAUUUAGGAUUUAGAGCAGGGGAGUGGUUUAGCUGUUCAUUGUUUCAAAGAGUUUUUUGAACUGUAGAAAGUGAUUGAGUUCUGGUCAUGAUAAGCUCUGAGAGCCUUAUCUCCUUUCUCCUUUAUUUAUAUCAAAAUUGUUUAUCUUUUACAAUUACAUUACUGCCCCUUUUUUAUUGGGCUCUUACAUCAUUCCUUACGUAACUACAUUUUUACAUCUUUUAUUUCAAACCACGUGUCUUCUUUGAUUAUCACGAGCCUUUGUUUUAUUCUUCUUUUUUCUUUGGCAAUCACGUGCCUCUGCUUUAUCUUUUUAUCUUGUCGGGCAUCUCUAUUAUUUUAUCUGCCAUGAGCAUCUUCUAUCAGCAUCUUUAUUUUGUCUGCCACGAGCAUUUUCUAUCAGCAUCUUUUAUCUUUCUAUCUCUUCUGUCUGCUACGCGUGUUACUUCUUUUUACUUGUUUGGAUGGCUCAUCUCCAUGAGCUGACAAGCCUGCUGCAUGGUUUCACUGCUACUGAGGAAACGCAUAGUGCUUAUGUCAUUUAUUAGCUCCAGCAGGAUAUUUGAUUGUGUAUGGUUGUCUUCUGCUGUCACGAGUAUAUAGUUCUGGAAUCUGAUGAUGGUUCUGAAAUUUCUUUUAUACAAAUCCUUUGCUAUGCUCCAUAUGGCUUUUAUUCCUCUGGCUCUUCGGGUUCGGAUCCAGGCUUUGUUUAUCUGAGGAACUUCUGUGUAUUCAGUUCCUACUUCUACUUUAAAUUUUUUUGUGAGAUGACCUACGGAUAUCAUAUAAAAGGCUUGGUAUUCUAUAUUUUGGUGGUAUUCUGGACUUAUGGUGUAGAAUUUAAGGUAUAUAGGUUUUUUCUGGACAAAUCUUGACACUUCUUUGACUAACAAUUCAUUCAAGCUGGCUAUUUCUCGGAGGUCUAUGUCAGGAUAUACUAAGUCUAGGUAACCAUAUCGGGCUAUUUUCCCAACAAGGAGUGGGUCUGCUCCUUUUGUGGCUAUCAUUCUAGAAUACAUAUUUUUUUCAGGUGCUUUAUAAAUAUUACUGUUAUAGGAACAGGUGGAGUAUACCCAUGUAGAGAACUGUUUAUACUCUUCUUCUUUUAGGUUUAAAAGCUCUGUCUCUUCUUCGGUAUAGGGACUGUUUAUCUAGAUAAACUUUCUUGUUUUUGUAGGGCUUGAUUUUGGUGGAUCUAUUUCUAUGGUUAUGGUUUGGCUAGGACCAGGAAUUGGAUCAGAGAUUGGUUUAUUUUCUCUGAUGGGUCCACUACUGCUUCCUUCACCUUUCGGGCUGGUGUUUAUUGACACAACAUUUAUGGGGCCUUUGUUUAUUGAGAGUGCUUUUGUCAGAUCGUUUAUGUAUGAUACUAACAAAUGUACUCCAUUUUCAUGGGCUUGUGAAGCCUCUUUUAUAUAGUUUAUGGUAUCAAUUAUGUCUGAUGCUUCUGUUGCCAGUCUAUGUAAUUCGGCAUCUAUUCCAGAGAGGAUCUUAUUUAUUUCUGGAUCCAUCUCCAAAUUCUAUGUUCCUGCUUAAGAAAUCUGCAAGGAAAUUGUUAGUUCCCUUUAUGUGUAUAAUUUUGAAAUUAUAAUAUGACAAAUAUGCUUGCCAUCUGUGUAAUCUUCUAUACUGGGGUUCAUUUGGCAAAAUCUUGCUUAUUAAUGAGCUUACUUGAGAAUUAUAUGUUUCUAUAAUAAAUGGCUUUUGUAAUAAAAAUAAUGAGAACUUUUUAAUUCUUUUAUAUAUUGCAAGGAGUUCUUUUUCAUGUACAGGGUAAUUAACCUGUGCUUGGUUAAAUGUACCACUAGUAUACCUACAAAUUUUGUUUAUAUCUAUUUUAAGUAUAGCUCCCCAAUGCAGGUCAGAUGCAUCGGUUUGUACUACUAGUCUAUCAGUUUCUUCUGGUAAUCUUAAUGAAGGGAGAUUCUUACAUUCUUCUUUUAAACUUUUUACAGUCUUUGUAUGUUCUAUGUUCCAUCCUCUGGUAUUAUUUUUCCUAAGUAAUUUUUGAAGUAUAUUUCUUUUCUUUGCUAAGUCUUUUAUGAAUCCUUCAGCAUAAUUUAAACAACCUAAGAAAUUUUAUAUUUGCUGUUUAUUCUCUAAUUUAUCUGGGAAUUCACUAAUCUUUCUGCCUAUGUGACUCUGGAGUCUGAUUCCUUGUCUAUCCAUAAUCAUUCCCAAAAAUUCUAUUUUCUUAUGUUCUAUUACUGCCUUCCUUUCUGACAAUACUAUUCCUUCUCUAAUACAAACAUUCACAAAUUCUUUCAAAUAUUUUCUAUGGUCUUCUAAUGUUUCUGAUGCUAUUAAUAUAUCAUCUACAUAUACUAUUAUGUAUUUAUAAUCCUUAAAUAUUUUAUCCAUUCUACUUUGGAAAAUUUGAGGGGUAUUUUUUAAUCCGAAAGGCAUUACUAGUCAUUCAUAAUGAUCUUGUGGAGUACUAAAUGUUGUAUAAGGAAUACUAUGUUCUUCCAUUUUUAUCUGCCAAAAUCCUGAUAUACAUUCAAAUUUUGAAUAAUAAGUUUUAUUCUUCACAAGAUUUAUCAGUACUUCUUUAUUUGGUAAAAAAUAUCCAUCAAAUUUUAUGUAUUUAUUUAGUUCUUCAUAAUUUAUUACCAUUCUAGCCUUUCCUCUAACUUGUUCUGCUCUCUUUCUAACUAUAAAAGCUGAACUAUUAUGUGGACUAUUACUAUUUCUUAUUAGGUUUAAAUUUAAUAAUUCUUUUAUCUGGAUUUUAACCUCUUCCCUAUCUUCCUCUGUAAUCAUCAUUGGUUUAAGUCUUAUAAUUCUAUUUUCUAUUAAUUCAAUCUUUGCUCUAGGGUGAUCUGGUUUCCACAAUGCUAACGGAUUUUCUUUAUAAACUUGUUCAAGUUGAGAUUUUAUUGUUUCUAAUUGUAUAUUAUAGUUUUUUCCUUUAGAAAUAAAAAAAUAUUUUUCAUAAAUUAGACUAUCAUCACGCUAGGCUGGCUGAACUCUGUAAGGUUUAAAUUCGCGCGGAAUACGAAGGAUAUGGUUACAAGGGGUUUUAAGAGUGAUCAUAUAAGGAGUUUGUUGGUAAUAUUGAAAUUGUUGGAGAAAAUCAUUUCCUAAAAGGAUAUCACAAUUCAUUUGGUCAUAUUGAAAGAUGUGGUUUAUUCGUACAAUUUUACUUCCUAAAAGAAUUUCAAAAUUUAAUAAGGAUUGAUUGAUUUGUUGUUUAUCCCCUGUUAUACCUACAAGUUUUAUUUUGCCAUUUGGUUUCCAUUGAUUCGAUAAAAAAGUUUUCAUAAUUGUAAUUUCACUCCCUGUGUCUAUCAAGGCACAAUUAUUUAAGUCUUUUUCUAUUAUAUUUAUUUGUAUAUAAACAGACAUAGGAUAUUUUAUAUAAGUUUGUUUUAAUAUGUUUCACAAACUAUUUUUUGUCCUUCUAUUUGUAAUGUUGUUUGAUAUUUUUCAAUUUUAUAGUAUUCCAAACUAUUUAGGAAAUUAUUUCCUAGUACUAUAUGUUUUUCUGGAUCUGUAGUCAUAAAAGAAUUUGUGUAACAGGAUAUGAUUAUUCGUACUCCUUCAAUUAUUAGUGGAAUUUUUACUUCUUGUUUACAUAUAUGUUUAUUGCCAUUAAAGUCAGUGUAUUCAUAUGGAAGUCCUUUAUUUUUAGUAUGAUUCAUAUAAUUAUGACUUGUUCCUGUGUCUACUAAAAUGGGUAUCUUGGUUGUAUAAUCUAUUCCAUUAAAAUAUUGGCCAAGUAUUUUUAAUACGUUACUAGUCAUUAUAGGUCUAGCUAUUUAUUUAUCUAUGUUAACUAAUUGUUUAUCAGUAUUUAGCCUUCUGGAUGAACUUCCUCUUAUUAGAGUUCUUCCUGCAAAACUUAUAGGGAUUAUAGAGUUUUCAUUAUUGUCAUUUAAAAACUGUUUUUUGUCAUCUAUGUUUAGCUCAUAAGUUAUGGGGAUUUUAUAAUCCUGAAUGACAGGUUCUAUAAGAGUUGCUAUGUCUUCACAUUCUUUAUUUAUUUCUAUGUAGGGUUUGUUUCCAUAGAUUUCUCCAUAAUUUGAAUUACAAAAACUAUAUAAUGCAGAGUAGUGUAUGGUCAUUAGUCUAUUUCCUUCUUUCAUCAGGUUCUUUUUUAAUAAUUUAAAGUGUAAACUUAAUGUCUCAUCUAUGUUUUUAUCUUUUAUAUGUACACAAUAUUUAGGGUGACAUGUAAAUAGUAGUUUGGUAUAACAUAAGUUUUCUUCUACUGUUCCUAGAUGUCCUAUGCUAGGAUCAUGGAACCGUUGAUCAUGUAUUGACAAAACUAUUGGGCUAUCUACUCCUUCUUUGAAAAGUGAUUUUAUUAAAAUCUGAAUUUCAGCUAAAUAUACGUAUUGUAUUUUUUCUCUUGUUGAUUCAUUUUUUAUUUUUCUUAAAGCUAAGUCAAUUGUUCUUUUAUUUAUCAAGCUGAAUCUAAUAUUUCCUUCAGCUUGCGUUAUAGUUACAACUUUUCUUGUUCAUAAUAUUCAUGUAGUACUAUUCUUUUUCUUUUAAACAUAUCCCUUAGUUUUUGUAGUAUUUCGUAUUCUGGUUUUUCUACAUUCAAUUUUAAGAGUUUAUUAUAUUUUUCUUUAUUAAAGGUAGCUACAAGACUAUAUCCACUUUUAUUUUCUUCUCUUUCUAUUUCCUCAAUUUCUUCUAUAUCUUCUUCCUUUUCUACUAAGUCUUGUCUAUUCUGACUCAUUUUCAGAAUCUUCUACCAUAUAAAUUUAUGCUCCUUCAUAAUCAUAUAUAUUGCUUAUUUCUUCUAACUCGUCUUGUAUUGUUUUAAAGUCUUCUUGUAAUAUUCUAACUUUUUUGUUUUUGGUACAAUCUGUACUAAUACUGAUAAACAAUUAGUUAACAUAGAUAAACAAAUAGCUAGACCUAUAAUGACUAGUAACGUAGUAAAAAUACUUGGCCAAUAUUUUAAUGGAAUAGAUUAUACAACCAAGAUACCCAUUUUAGUAGACACAGGAACAAGUCAUAAUUAUAUGAAUCAUACUAAAAAUAAAGGACUCUUAAUAAAAGAGAAAGAAAUUCCAUAUGAAUACACUGACUUUAAUGGCAAUAAACAUAUAUGUAAACAAGAAGUAAAAGUUCCACUAAUAAUUGAAGGAGUACGAAUAAUCAUAUCCUGUUACAUAGAUUCUUUUAUGACUACAGAUCCAGAAAAACAUAUAGUACUAGGAAAUAGUUUCCUAAAUAGUUUGGAAUACUAUAAAAUUUAAAAAUAUCAAAUAACAUUACAAAUAGAAGGACAAAAAAUAUUUUGUGAAAUAUGUUAAAACAAGCUUAUAUAAAGUAUCCUAUGUCUGUUUAUAUACAAAUAAAUAUAAUAGAAAAAGACAUAGAUACUUGUGCCUUAAUAGACACAUGGAGUGAAAUUACAAUUAUGAAAACCUUUUUAUUGAAUCAAUGGAAACCAAGUGGCAAAAUAAAACUUGUAGAUAUAACAGGGGAUAAACAACAAAUCAAUCAAUCCUCAUUAAAUUUUAAAAUCCUUUUAGGAAGUAAAAUUGUACGAAUAAACCACAUCUUCCAAUAUGACCAACUGGAUUGUGAUAUCCUUUUAGGAAAUGAUUUCCUCCAACAAUUUCAAUAUUACCAACAAACUCCUUAUAUGAUCACUCUUAAAACCCCUUGUAACCAUAUCCUUCGUAUUCCGCGCGAAUUUAAACCUUACAAGUUCAGCCAGCCCAGCGUGGUGAUAGUCUAAUUUAUGAAAAACAUUUUUUAAUUUCUAAAGGAAAAAGCUAUAAUAUACAAUUAGAAACAAUAAAAUCUCAACUUGAACAAGUUUAUAAAGAAAAUCCGUUAGCAUUGUGGAAACCAGAUCACCCUAGAGCAAAGAUAGAAUUAAUAGAAAAUAGAAUUAUAAGACUUAAACUAAUGAUGUAUACAGAGGAAUAUAGGGAAGAGUUUAAAAUCCAGAUAAAAGAAUUAUUAAAUUUAAACCUAAUAAGAAAUAGUAAUAGUCCAGCUUUUAUGGUUAGAAAGAGAGCAGAACAAGUUAGAGGAAAGGCUAGAAUGGUAAUAAAUUAUAAAGAACUAAAUAAAUACACAAAAUUUGAUGGAUAUUUUUUACCAAAUAAAGAAGUACUGAUAAAUCUUGUGAAAAAUAAAACUUAUUAUUCAAAAUUUGACUGUAAAUCAGGAUUUUGGCAGAUAAAAAUGGAAGAACAUAGUAUUCCUUAUACAACAUUUAGUACUCCAUAGGGUCAUUAUGAAUGGCUAGUAAUGUCUUUCGGAUUAAAAAAUGCCCCUCAGAUUUUCCAAAGUAGAAUGGAUAAAAUAUUUAAGGAUUAUAAAUACAUAAUAGUAUAUGUAGAUGAUAUAUUAAUAGCAUCAGAAACAUCAGAAAGAUUAGUGAAUUCCCAGAUAAAUUAGAGAAUAAACAGCAAAUACAAAAAUUUGUAGGUUGUUUAAAUUAUGCUGAAGGAUUCAUAAAAGACUUAGCAAAGAAAAGAAAUAUACUUCAAAAAUUACUUAGGAAAAAUAAUACCAGAGGAUGGAACAUAGAACAUACAGAGACUGUAAAAAGCUUAAAAGAAUAAUGUAAGAAUCUCCCUUCAUUAAGAUUACCAGAAGAAACUGAUAGACUAGUAGUACAAACCGAUGCAUCUGACCUGCAUUGGGGAGCUAUACUUAAAAUAGAUAUAAACGAAAUUUGUAGGUAUACUAGUGGUAUAUUUAACCAAGCACAGGUUAAUUACCCUGUACAUGAAAAAGAACUCCUUGCAAUAUAUAAAGGAAUUAAAAAGUUCUCAUUAUUUUUAUUACAAAAGCCAUUUAUUAUAGAAACAGAUAAUUCUCAAGUAAGCUCAUUAAUAAGCAAGAUUUUGCCAAAUGAACCCUAGUAUAGAAGAUUACAUAGAUGGCAAGCAUAUUUGUCAUAUUAUAAUUUCAAAAUUAUACACAUAAAGGGAACUAACAAUUUCCUUGCAGAUUUCUUAAGCAGGAACAUAGAAUUUGGAGAUAGAUCCAGAAAUAAAUAAGAUCCUCUCUGGAAUAGAUGUCGAAUUACAUAAACUGGCAACAGAAGCAUCAGACAUAAUUGAUGCCAUAAACUAUAUAAAAGAGGCUUUAGAAGCCCAUGAAAAGUGAGUACAUUUGUUAGUAUCAUAUAUAAACGAUCUGACAAAAGCACUCUCUAUAAACAAAGCCCAAUAAAUGUUGUGCCAAUAAACACCAGCCCGAAAGGUGAAGGAAGCAGUGGUGGACCCAUCAGAGAGGAUAAACCAAUCUCUGAUCCAGUUCCUGGUCCUAGCCAAACCAUAACCAUAAAAAUAGAUCCACUAAAAUCAAGCCCUACAAAAACAAAAAAGUUUAUCCAGAUAAACAGUCCCUAUACCGAAGAAGAGACAAAGCCUUUAAACCUAAAAGAAGAAGAGUAUAAACAGUUCUCUACAUGGGUAUACUCCACCUGUUCCCAUAACAGUAAUAUUUAUAAAGCACCUGGAAAAAAUAUGUAUCCUAGAAUGAUAGCCACAAAAGGAGCAGACCCACUCCUUGUUGGGAAAAUAGCCCGAUAUGGUUACCUAGACUUAGUAUAUCCUGACAUAGACCUCCGAGAAAUAGCCAGCUUGGAUGAAUUGUUAGUCAAAGAAGUGUCAAGAUUUGCCCAGAAAAAACCUAUAUACCUUAAAUUCUACACCAUAAGUCCAGAAUACCACCAAAAUAUAGAAUGCCAAGCCUUUUAUAUGAUAUCCGUAGGUCAUCUCACAAAAAAUUUUAAAGUAGAAGUAGGAACUGAAUACACAGAAGUUCCUCAGAUAAACAAAGCCUGGAUCCGAACCCGAAGAGCCAGAGGAAUAAAAGCCAUAUGGAGCAUAGCAAAGGAUUUGUAUAAAAGAAAUUUCAAAACCAUCAUCAGAUUCCAUAACUAUAUACUCGUGACAGCAGAAGAUAGCCAUACACAGUCAAACAUCCUGUUGGAGCUAAUAAAUGACAUAAGCACUAUGCGUUUCCCCAGUAGCAGUGAAACCAUGCAGCAGGCUUGCCAGCUCAUGGAGAUAAGCCAUCCAAACAAGUAAAAAGAAGUAACACGCGUAGCAGACAGAAGAGAUAGAAAGAUAAAAGAUGCUGAUAGAAAAUGCUCGUGGCAGACAAAAUAAAGAUGCUGAUAGAAGAUGCUCAUGGCAGAUAAAAUAAUAGAGAUGCCCGACAAGAUAAAAAGAUAAAGCAGAGGCACGUGAUUGCCAAAGAAAAAAGAAGAAUAAAACAAAGGCUCGUGAUAAUCAAAGAAGACACGUGGUUUGAAAUAAAAGAUGUAAAAAUGUAGUUACGUAAGGAAUGAUGUAAGAGCCCAAUAAAAAAGGGGCAGUAAUGUAAUUGUAAAAGAUAAACAAUUUUGAUAUAAAUAAAGGAGAAAGGAGAUAAGGCUCUCAGAGCUUAUCAUGACCAGAACUCAAUCACUUUCUACAGUUCAAAAAACUCUUUGAAACAAUGAACAGCUAAACCACUCCCCUGCUCUAAAUCCUAAAUCAAUACAUCACUGAUCAGAACAAAUAAACACCACAGAAAGGAAAGAGAAACCUAAAAUUAUUCAACGUUUCUAAGCACAACGAUCGAGAUCCAUACAGUAAGGCCGCUCGAGUCCGCUGAUCCCGUUGAGGCAAGGAGGUCGUUGAGGGAAUAAGGACAACCAGGCUGCAGGUCACUGGAGAAUGAUCGAAAGGUAAAGAAACAAGAAUAACUUAGGUAAUAAUUCUCAAUCUUUAUCGGUUGGUGGAAGUUUGUUGAUGAUUGAUGAUGAAGAGAUUUAUGGAGGAAUAGCAAAUUCUCAUAAGUGAAACUCUUUGAAUAAAUUGAUUCAACAUGAAUAACUAUAUUUUGUUAGGAAAAUCUAAAAAAUAUAUGGUAAACCCAACAACUAGAAUAACAUAUAAUAAUUAUAUGAUGAUAAUAGAUUUUAACUUAGGAUCAUUUAGACAGGGCUCAUAUCUUGUUAGUAAACAAGAACUUGUUAGAACAUAAGACUUACAAGUAGUAUAUAGUCUUAAUCUACCACAAGAAAUAAAACGAAAAAUUAUAAAUCAUAUCGAAAUAGAGAAUCUAAAACAUAACAUAAUCAUGUUAACUGUAGAACAAGCAAUUGACAUAGCCUUAGCAUAUAUGGAACAUGAAAGUCUAGGAAUAGGACCAUCUUACAUAACAGAUAUAGAAAAUUUAGAUAAUGAAGAACUGGACAUAUAACUUGAAAAAUAUAAAGAGGUAUAUAGGCGGGAAUCCAUCGACAUAAGUUCCAGAGGUGAACCCGAAUGGGCACUAGUCUGGUCCGCACUGAUGGUCAACAAGCCACGUACUUCUGUUUGAUUUAAUUUAAUAAUAAACACUAGAAUUAAAACUUGUAAAUCUAUUUUAAUAAUAUUGACAUUUUUACUUUCUCAGUAGCCGUUUUUAAUUUCAUUAUUUUUAUUUAAUUUUUAAUUUCAGUUAUUUUCUGUUUAAAUACACACACCCAAAAUGGUAUCAGAGCCAUAAGAGUCCGAAAAGAAUCAUAAAAAUUCUAGAACUAAUAUAUAAAAAAAUGGAUCCAAUAAAAGGCAUCUGUGACAACUUAUACAACUUAAAGGUAUUUGACAAAGAGGAAAUAAAAACUUUGAUAACAUCCAUAAAGACAGAGAAAAAUAACAUUAGAAAUAUUGAUCUUGAAUUAACCCAAGAAUUGCAAGAAAGAUCUAUAGACACCUUAGGAGGAGAAAUUUUGAUAGAAAAGAAAAUGAAAUUUAUAGAUAAAUUUAUAAAAUUUUUAGUAUACUGGCAUAAAAAAGAAGCAUUACCAUGAAUCAACAUGCAUUUACUGUAAUAAAUGAAUUAGCUGAAGCCAUAGAUCGUAUGAAUCUAGGAUGGGAAGAUAUAAUAACAACUUACAUAAAUUUAAUAAAUCAAAAAAUAGAUUUAUUAGAGCAAGAACGGAUAUGAGUAAUAAAUUUAGGACCAUAAAUUUAUUCUGAAUUUAUGGAUUUGUAUGAAUUCGAUAAUCAUAUACUAAUUAUUUAAAGAAAUAAAAAGAACUUUAGAAAGAAUGAAGAACAGGUGUAUAAUUGAUGGAAUGAGAUAAAUACAUCCAUAAUUAUAAAAAAAAUUAAAAAUAAAGGGACUCAUAUGAACUUUGCCAUGGAAGAAAAGACAAAAAACUUAAGUUACGUUUAACGUAACUUAGGAUCACCCCUGAACAAAAAGAUUGGAACAACUGGAUAUUGGGCUUCAAUAUUUUAUAUAUAUAUAUAUAUAUAUAUAUAUAUAAUCACAUAUACAAUUAAUAAAAAAAAUUUAACGGUAAUGUGAUCUAUAUGUUGUAGGGUAUUUUGGCUUCUAAUUUAAAUGUCAUGUACACGUCUGGGUGCCAAGGAUCCUUAUUUCUAGCAAUAUUUAACCCUCAACAGCAGGUGUCUUUAAAAUGGUAGCUUUUAUUUUUAGAGAAUCACUGUAUAUGGAUAGACAAUUAAUAGUUUCUUUCUUUCUUUCUUUUUCUUUUUUCCUUGCGUAAGUGAGGUGGCAAAAUGAUUAAACAAAUCAUAUUUGAAUUAAAUAAAAAAUGAAUUAGGUCCAAACUGUACUAAUUUAAAUUUGAUUCGUUAAUCCAACAAAGUGUUGGCUCCACUGGCAAUGGAGUCCCCUUAAGUGGCUUGACUGGGUUUGCUCACCAGUUCGAGUCGCAGGGAAGUCGCCUUUGUUGGGAGAAUCUGUGCCUCCCGGUUCGAGCGGGGACUUCUAAUCUGAGUUGUGGUACGGGCUUAAAGGUGCCUCCCACAGUUGGGGUCCUCCCCAGGAUACCUCGUGAUUAAUAUCAAAAAAAAAAAAAUUUGAUUAGUUAAUUAAAUGAAUGUUUUUGGUUUGGUUCGUUUCAUUAGUUUAGUAGAAUUAAUAAAUGAAUUGAAACAAAUCUACAUUCGCUUACUAUUUGUUCAUUCUAUAAUGAAUUCAUUACUAAUCAAAUUGAAUAUGAAUUUAUUUAUAAAAGUAUAAUUAAAAAUUCUACCAAGCUUUAACAGAGAAGAUUGGAACUUAAGAAAAGAGCAAACGAUAUAAUUUUUAAAAAAGACAGAAACAAAAAGAAAAAAAGAGAACCUUUCACUGUUCCUUCUGUGAAUCGUGGGGCUGGUAACAGCCUAAGAGAUUGAAUCGCUACUAAAAAUAGAGGACAGAGGCAAGACUGGUUUUUUGGUUUCUGCCGAAGAAGACAAAAUUAAUUAAAUAAAAUUUAGUCCAAGACAAUAAACUAACUACAAAAAUGAUUUAAAUAAUUCAUAGAUAAAGUACCAAAUUAAGCUUGCAAUUUUCACAUGUAGCAAAAUAACAUAUACAGUAUGAUGAAAUCUCUACACUUAAAUCGGCUGUCCAAACCAUUAAAUUAAAUCCUUUUUUCUAUUAGGACAAAACUAUGUAAAUUUGAGAAUUUCGGUUUAGCCUACUUUAGUCAAACUCAAUCUCUCAGCACAGUGACAAAGAAAAAGUAGUUGUUUAAGAAAAAAAAGUGAGAGUGACAUUGCAUAGACAUGACUGUGAAACGUCAUUUUCUUACCGGCCGUGGUCUUGUCUUUUAUUAUACUAGUAUAAUGGUUGAAUUGUACAUUUUUAACUAAGUUUUGAAAGUAUUGUUUCUAGAUUUAUUUCAAUGAGAAAAAAAAAAAACACAUUAUUACCCAAAUUACAAACUUUUGUGAUUCUGACUCUUGUUCUGUUGUAAACCCAGUUUUCUAAAAUAUCCUUGAGAAUACCAUUUUGAAGUUUAGUAAUUGAAAGAUCUUUAUAAGCAUUUGCAAAUGCAGCAUUUUAAAAUAUUGAACAGAUAGUUAAUGAUCAAACUGAUGAUCAAAGUUAAUGAUCAAACUGACACAUUUUGCUUUAGAGUUGUUCAGCUGAAUUUUCUUUUGAUUUAAUUAGUUAAUGAGAUUUCAGGUUUAUGAUCAAAUGUGAAAAUCUGGAAGAACGUAUAAACCAUUAUUUACACGAUGUAGAAAUAAACACAAAUCAAUGUCUUCUAAAGAAAACUCAUACCGAUAUUAUAAUUUAAAUAAUAGUUUUUCUACGACUCUACACAAAUUUCCCAACAGCAGCAGUUCUUACAACAAGGGAACAGAGAAGAUAAAACAAAUUAAUUCAAAUAAACAAAAUGAUCACGUGGCCAUGAUUGAGAAUAAAAUGAAAAUUAUUUGUUCGUUUUUCGUUUUUUGAAUGGGAACAGAGAUGAGACUCAGAAUCGAUUAAAUCAAACCCUAAAUUGAUUAAAAGAACAAUUCAUUUAAGCAUAACCCUAAAAUAACCUAAUUAGAGAGAGGUAAAAAGAUAAUCAAAAUUAAAAGAAAAAACAUCUAAUAUUCGAGAAGCAAAUGAAGCUGAAGAAUGUUGAAAUUCUUCGUCAUAAAUAUAAAAAUGAAUAGAAAAAUAAAAAGUUAUCAAUUUGACUAAAUAGUGAAAUUUCACUUAAUAGUCAAAACAUAGCUUUUUUUAAUGCUUAGAAAAAAAGUCAAAUAUAUUUAUUUUAUUUUUUGGAAAAUCAUCAAAUACGUUUUAAUCUUCCAUUAAUUGUCAUUUAUAUUUGAGGUAAGUCUAAAAUAAAGUGACAAAUAUAUUUAUUAAUUUAUAAAAACAUCAACUAAUAAAUGUCAAAUAUAUAAAUUGAAUAAAAUAUGCUAUAUGAGUUUUCAAAGUAAUUAUAUUAUAUUGAUUCAUAAAAAAUUAUCCUUAAUAAUAAUUUUUAUAAGGGGUAUUUUUGUAUAAAUUAUUUUACUAAAAGUUGAGUAUUCAAAGUAAUUUUUAAAAUACAAUUUGCGCCACCUAAAAAGUUAACUACUUUAGUACUUUCAAAUACAGUACAGAUUGCCAGAGAAUUUUGACUAUAUGAGUAAUUAACUAACGUGAACUUAAAAAUAUAUUACGUGUUAUUGCAUGGCAAGCCUUAUCAUAGAACAAAGUCUCAAAAAAGCUUACUUAUCACUAUAAUUCCCAUGUUCCCAUAGCAUAGGCCUCAAGUUCCUCCAAGCUUGGAAAUUUGAAUUAAUAGUUGAAAGCAUCGGUUCCCUCGGCAAUGCUCCACCUCCACUGCAAGUUUAGAUAAUUAAUUUCAUAUGCAAAAUGCGCUAGAAGGGCAUUCGUUAAAAAAAGCUACUGAUAGCAAAGCACAAUGUCGUAGAGAUUGGAGUUUCCUGCCUAAGUUGACUUGAAAUUAGGUGAAUGUCAGCGUUGGGCAAUAUUCUCAAUUUAUGGAGCAAUGACUGGUUACUUGGACCCAGUCCUUCCUCAGCACUCACAUCUUUCCCUUUUAACAUAUAUUUAAUUAAUCCAAGCGCUUACACAUGCAUUGCAGAUGUCAGCAUUGGGCAAUAAGUUUUUACCGAAGAACAUUUUAGAAAACCUCAUGUUAUUCAAUUAAACCAUUUCAUAUCUUCUGAAAUGUGCAAAAUCAAAAACAAAAAUCCGUAAAGGAGAUAGAUGCUACGUUAAAAUAACAUACUCACACUACUAGAAAAAUGGUCUUUUGUGACACUUGUCUUGUGACACUUUAUUAUAAAGUAUCAGUAAUUACAUGUAUUUUGGGCAUUUUCUGUGUUUAACAGAUAAGUAUCACAAAUUGCUAAUACUAUGGUGUCAGUAAAUUAAAUAUCACAGAUUCGUGACACUAAAGUAUUAGUAGUUAAAAAAAUAAAAUUUUAAUUUUGUAUCUAGUAAUAAUUGAACCGAAGACCCCUAAGCCAUAACCUUUUGAUUUUAACCGCUAUACCACUCAGCCACAAAUUGCAUUUUUGAACUAAUAAAUAAAUAAAUAUGAAAACUUAAAACCUAAAACCUAAAAAGUUUUGUUAAGUCAAAAAUCUAUAUCAUGGCCGCCGAAGCUUUCUUCUUUCUCUCUCCUUCCCUCUCUCUCGCUCUCUUUCUCUCUCGAACAAUGAUCUACCUUGAAAGCCGCCUCCGUCAACACCUUGAAAGCUGCCGUCCUUGAGCUAAAAUAUCCCUGAAAAGAACCCAGAAAAUGUUGUGAAGAAUUUGGGCAAAGCUAAGGUUUGAAAGUCUGAAUCAGUGUUGUGGUAACUCUUUGUCUCAUUCUCUAUUCUCAUUGUUUAAGUAUUUAUUUGUUAAUUGAUUGAUGUUUAUUGAGUGCAAAUGAGAGCUUGCACUUGUUUGGAAAUCUAGCCAUCUAGGGUUUUUGUUGCUUAUAAUCUAAUUUAUUGUUUAAUAAAAUAAAUAAAACGCAGCUUUAUUAUAGGUGGAAUUCAGUUUAUUAAGUGAAAGAAUGAUUACAAUCGGUGAUUAUGGAUUUAGGUUGAAUGCAAUUUGUUAAUUAAAAGAAUAAUGGCAAUCGACAAUCAUGGGUUUAGUAUGUAUUACAUAUUUCGUUUAAUGGUGUGUAUGAAAACCCAAAAACUAAAAUUUUCUUAAGUAAAAAUCUCAUCUCUCCCUCACGACCUAUAAGCCCAUCACUCUCUCUCUCUCUCUCUCUCCCCUCUUUCUAGCUAACAACCCAAAACUUAUUGUGAAACCGCCAUAUCAAUCGUUCAAAACUCAUUAGUUAGCUGGUUAUUGUGAAAAGUAAGGUUAUUGUUUGCUUUUAUGUCUAAUUUUACUGUAAACAUGGGGAUUGAUGAUAUUCGAGUUGCUGGACACUUGAUUUUGAGGUGAAAGAUUAAUUAAUAGUUUACGAAAUUAUGCUGAAAAUUUGAGGAUUGAUAGAUUGUUGUUGUGAACUUGGUUGUUUCCGAACUUGACUAAAUGACUUUCAAUUGAUUUGAAAGUUUGAUUAAACUAAGUUUAAAUGAGAACAUUUUAGUUCUGGAAAUUUUGGAAUGAAUUGGGUUUAUAUUUGAUUUUGAAUGGAUUUCUCAAUAUGGUUGGUUGUUGUCCAAUUUUAUUAGAAAUUACAUAUGUACCAUGUUUGAUAUUGCAAACGUAUAAUCUAACAGAGUUAGAAUAAGCUGAAAUUCGGAUAAACUACACUUCUAUUUGCAUACUUCGAAUAUGGAAAAUUUUAUUUUGAUUGAACUUGUAAUUUAUUUUUAAUGAUUUUUCAAACUCUGCUGCCUUUGCAGUAACUUAUUUUGACAGAAUUGUUCAUUAAUCUUUGAUCCUAUCAAACACCAGCCUAAUGAUAUCGGAAUAGCCUCAAAUUUUAAUAUGUUGUUGACUUAUAUGUCCACUUAAAAUCUGGAAAGUAUCAUUCUGAUAUAUUUAGUAUUUUAAAUUUAAUAAAAAUUCAAACACCUGCUGCUACUGUUACAGUUUCAUAUGCAAUUUUAACUUAUAUAGUUUUAUCAUGUGAGAAGCAAAUGUAGAGUUGUCCAAAUGACUUGGAAAUUUUGUUUGUGGUGUAUUGACAUGUCUAAUUAUGUUUUGUAAGUUUCAUAGCAUUCCAAAUUGAAUUAAAGAAAAUCUUAAAUUCAAGUUGUCAAUGUUUCCUAUUAAAUCUAAUUAGUGAUAAAUCUACUAACUUGCAGUACUUUUCAAGAAAACAAAUGUGUCAACACUGUGAAUUGCAAUGGGAGAAGAAAGUACCAAAGGCAUAAAUCUUUUUUCAUUAUAUUUGGGACUAUUCUUAAAGGUUAGUCUUUUCCUUUUUUUUUUCUUUUUUAUUUAAGGUAAUUAUAUUCAUUUUAAUUUUAAUUACAAUCAAUUUGGCGCUUUUAGACAACUCGCACCAACCAAUCCAACAAAAAAUGAAGAUAAUAUUUUUGAAAUGCAUUCAGUUUUUGACAAUAGCAAAAAGAAAAAGGAAAAAUGAUACUAGUUUAGGCUUUAGGAAAUUUGCAUCAUCAUUCUUGCAAUGCAGCAGCUGCCUCUAUCUCGGUGCUCUCGGAGAAGUAAUCUUGCUUAAUUUUGCGUGAUAAGCCCGUCCUAGCCAUUGCAAAAUUGACACUAAAAAGGUUCCAGUUUUUCAUACGGUAGUUUGAAAAGUCUGCACUGUUUGCUAUGCUGAUGCCCCAUUUGAAUGUUGGAGCCCAAAAAUGAAUGGUUUUAGGACCAGCCGGGUGGUUCCAGAAAGCUAGGAGCUUGUUAGCUAUUCUUUUUAAUUGAACUAAUUUAACUUAAAUAUUAGCCCGAUUAUUGAUUUCUAUGGUUUGCGAUUGAUUUGAGUUUGACAAUUUUGUUUUGUGUUGGUUUGAGUUUGACAUCCUAGUUUAAGACUUUGACGGCUUCCAAGAAAUGAUUUUGGAUGAUGAGCAUAGGAGUAAUAGUUUGAAAAUUAAUUUACUGUAUCAAAUAUAUACUUAGGUGGUGUUUGUUGUUUUGUCUGAAAUCUGAAUAGACCUGAAUUAGUAUAAAUUCUGAAUAGAUCUGAAUAUCUAAAUCUAAAUAAUAUGUUUGUUUUUUCGUCUAAAUCUCAGAAAAUAAGUACUAAGUUGUUUGUUUUUUUCAACUUAAAAAGCUGAAAAUAUGUACUUUUACAUUUGUAUCCUUAUUAAAUUUGAAUGUCAAAUAAAUAAUAUAUUAAAUACCACAAUAUUUUAACAUUUAUAAGUAAAACUAUAUUCAAGUGAAUACAUAAUUAUUUUGGAAUUUUAAUAAAUAAAAUACUGUAAAUUUCAAAUUUUAUCGUAUGUAAUAUAAGAAAGAAAAAACAUGGUUAUUUUUAUGUGGGGUAAAUGUCUAUGAGUGAGUUUUGGGAUAGACAUGAAAAAUAAAUUAUAAAGCAUGUAUAUUUUUUAUAUUAAAAAGUAAUUGACUUAAUUCAAAUUUCUCGAUUAAGUAAAAAGCCAAAAAAAUUGGCUUAUUUUAUUAAUUCAAAAUUAUCUAAAAAAUCUCAUUAAGUUAUAAAAACAAACACCUCUAAUUAACUUAAUUAAUUAAUUUAAGUCACUUUUAAGUCAUUAAGUUAAAAAAUAAACGCCACCUUAGUGUAGCAUAUUAAUUUUAAGAACUAUGGAUUAUUCCAUGAAUAUUCUAGUAAAUGGUUAUGUUAUAUAUGCAUGUCUUAAUAUAUAAUACUUAUAUUUUAAAGUUUGUUUUUUUUUUUUCCUUUCUAGGUUUAGGAAAAAUGUUUAAAGUGAUUUUGGGUUAUGAUGUCAAUCAAGUUAAAGCAACAUUACUUGUGAGUGGAAAUAUAUAAUGAUUAUAUUUUUAUUCUAUUUUUUUUUAUCUUCUUAAAGUUUUAUAAUUAGGCAAAAUUAAUGAAUACUUAAUUGCAAUUUAGGGUGAUAUUCUUUAAAUGGUUCACAUGAAUAGAUUUAAGUAGUACAAUAAAUUCAUACUCACUUUAUAAAGGCUUAACUAAGUUUGCAAAUAUUAUUUUUUUUAGUAGUAAUAAUUUUGGAUCGAACUCUCAAAUUAUUGAAAUAUUUUAUGUCUAAAUUUUAUUAUGCCUAAUAUAAAUAUGGAGAUUCAUAGUUAUUUUAUGCCCAGUUUAAGGAAACUACAGUUUGAGGACUUAUUUUUGCCUUGUUAAAUAAGCUUUUAGAAUGAAUAAAUUGAGGAAAUGAGUGGUGAUUUAUUUAUAAUAGAGCAUUUGUGAUAGCUUUUAACUAUGCACAAAAAUCAUUUGGUAUAUGUAGAUAGAGUAACAUGCUUGUGCUGAAAGUAGAUAUUACAUUGAAAACUUUUUGUCUGCUAUAGUUUGCUAUAUAUAUAACCUUUACCAAAGAGAAUAAUUGAGUUUAUUUAUAAAUAGCUUAUGAGUAUUUUUUCUUUCGAACAAAAUAAUUUUAUUUCUGUUAAUUGUUGUUUCUCUAAUGGCUGGAUAUUGGCAGCUAAUUUUUUUUUUUCUUUUCCAUGUAUUCAUAUGCAGAUUUGAUCAAUAUGUUUGAAGUGUUUAUUCCUCAACUUCACUUGUAUCCUAACCCAUACAGUCUAUUGAAUGGAGAAGCUGCUGGUGUGAUAACGCAAUUAUACUACCCAUAUUCAAAGAGUGAAAGGCAGUCAUCCUUCUCAAUUUAGCUUCUAGAUUUAUUAAAUUUAGCCACAAAUAGUAGGCAUUUGAUUGGAUGGUAGAAAUUUUUAUGUAUUGAAUUUGGAUUAUUUAGUUAUGAGAGUAGGAUAUCUCAUAUUUUGGUUAUUGAAGUUUUGGAAUUUGUAAUAUAUACUAAUAAUAUUUAAAUGUGAAAUGAAAGAUUUUGUGAUAUAAAUCAAUUUCUUUUUGUUAUUUUGUGGUGCCUUUUAAUUUUACCAAUAAAUCAAUAGGCAAUGAUCCAAUUCAAUUUAUUAUUUUUUUAAAAUAAAUUAACUAGUAAUACCAUGGUAACAGUAAUCAUAGACACUAAUAAAAUAUUAAUAACUACUAACACUAUGGUGUCAUAAUAUCGGUGGUACUGUAGUAAUACUAAUCACUGACACCACUUACAAGUGUCACUAUUUUUGACUCCCAGAUUACUGACACAAUUAACAAGUGUCAGUGAAAGUAAUUUUUGACACUAUUCUAAAGUCAGUAAAGACUAUUUUUCUAAUAAUGUCAAUUUGGAAACUAACAUACUUAAUUUAGAAAUUAACUGUAUAAAUUUUCAAUCUUCAAAAUAUGGGGGCAUGAAAAACUCAAUAGUACAAAAUACUAGUUCAGCCUAAGAAAGCAAAUCUUGUAUAAAAGCAUUUAGUCUGUUAGGCCCCUUUUCCUGAACUGCAUGCAUAAUCACUUGUUUCAUUGUAUAAGGUUCUGAAUUCAUAAGACUUGAUGAAGAGACAACAAAAGUCAGACCACAUAGCAUGAAAAUCAAAUAAACUUCAAUUAAAAAACUAAAAAAAUGCAGCAAAAAUAUUCAUGCCAAAAUUACAAUUAGGAAAAGACAGGAAAACUAACUCCAAUUCUUCUUGCUUGAUCCUCCAGUUCUUGCAGAUAGGCAGCCCCCACCCACAAAAUUCUAUUUCUGCUCAGCCUACUUAAAUAAAAACCUACACGGAAUUAUGGAAAUAUCAGGUCAUAAAAUGAUUCAUAAGAUUAUAUCCACAGUAGCAGCAACAAGGCUUCAUUGAAACAGAACUCCAAUAGAGAUUGCAAUGCAAGAUAGUGUUUGGAUUGUAUUAAUUUUCAUACCUCAUAUUUGACUAAUAAACUAGUUCAAGCAUUUCAACAAAUAACUCAAAGAACUAUGGGGUAGGGGUGGGCAAAUUAUCCGACCCGACCAGAUCCGAUCCGACCCGAUUCGAAAAAAUUCAGGUUCGGAUUGGAUCGGGUGGUCAACAAAACCCGAUCGGGUGAAAUUGUCUCAACCCGAUCGGAUCAUGAUCGAAUCGGGUGAAACCCAAUCUGAUCCGAAAACCCGAUCGGGUUGAGACAAAAAAAAAAAACUUGGGCAAAAAUUAUAGAUUUACACUUACAGAAUCACACAGACACACACAUGACACACUCACAUCUCACACGAAUACAGGCACUGAAUUAGUAACUCACUCUCACAGAAACAGAAUACAGAUCACAGUACAGAGUACAAACUCACGGAUUUACAGUAAUUCACAAUUCAAUUCAGUAAUUCACAUUUCACAAAGUAUUCACCGCAACAAAACAAUUCAGGAAUUCACUCCAAACUAUUCACCGCAACAAAAGUUACAAAACAAUUCAGUAAUUCACCAAGAAAACAACACAAACGAAGCAAAGUAACAAGUAACAACUCACAGUCACAAACCCUCACUCACGGUAUCACUAUCACAAUUCACAAACCCUCACUGUCACACACAAAUCACUGAAACCAGCAGCCGUCAAGCACAAGCAGGCAGCAGCCAAACCCACAGUCCCACACUCAUUCAUGCCUCACGGAGUCACGGCCUUCGUCGCUCACCACCACACGCAGCAAACACACACGCACAGUUCACGGAGCUAGCUUCAACCGACCACCACACGCAGCCAACAACCACUUCCGAGAACGACCCCAACCGAAGCCGAAGCUUAUUCGCGAAGAUCGUGACCCGAUCUACAGAUCUGCUGCAACCAAGCGCCGGAUCCAUGCCUUGAAUCCUCCACUCCACCAUAACUCAGUCUGAUUGAAGAUCCACCCAGCAAGCUGCCUCCAAUCCACUCGAGUCUCCACCAUUGGCAUCCACGGGUCACGGCUGUUGAGUGUUGACAUCCAGCCACCACACCCAUUCAUGGUCACGCCUCACGGGUCACGGAUCUAGCCUCCAGUCUCAAAAGGUCUCUGACUCUCUUCACUCUCUGUUUUGGAAUUGGAAGUUGGAAAACUUGGAAGUUUGGAAUUGGAACUUGAAGGCUUAAAGCCCGAAUCAGCAAGACAGCAAAUCCAACUUUUAAAGUUAUUUAAGAGAUGGUAUUAGUAUAUAUUAUAUAAUUAUAUAUGCAUUAAUGAUUAAUUAUAAUUUUUAUUUGUUAUAUGUUAUAUGAGAAAUGUUAAUUGUAACUUUGUAUGUUAAUUAUAUAUAAUUAUAUAUUGUUAAAUUUUAUCAAUAAAAUGAAAAUAAUUUGGCAUUAAUUUUCUGUUAUUAAUUAAUAAUUGAUUUUUUGUAUGAAUAGUAAUGUUAGAUUAAAAAUUAAAAUUAAAUAUUAUGUUACAAUAUAAAUUAUAAUUAUAUAUGUCAUAUGAUAUGUGUAUUUGUACAAUAGUUUCAACUUCAACAAAAUUAAUGUGGAUUCCAGUCCACUGAUUGAGUUCUGCCAUUUGGUAGAGGGUUUUUUUUUUUGUGAUUUAUUAUAUUUUAAUAUUAGAUUUAAUGGGUUUUAUCUUUUACUAUAAGACAUUAAGAUUUAUUAUUGUGCUACAUAGCAAGUCGUUAAGGUUUUCUUUGAAUUUUGAACAAACAUGACCAUAGGAUAAGAUUAAAAUUUGUAAAAAAAUAAUUCAUUUUUUUAUUGUGAAAAACUUUUGGACAGGAGAAAUUCUAGCGUGAUGUUUUGGGUCUUCAUAAUCUAAUAUGAAACCACUAACAAAUAAUAUUUUAACAUAUGUACAUAAUUUCUAAAUUUAUAAGUUAUUUAAUUAAAAGUCAUACAAUUUCUUUUUCCUCCCUUUCACUCUCUUCCCUCUAAUUAAAGAUAAUUAAUGGAGUAACUCAAUUAAAGUUACGUUUAAUCCCCAAUUGCCAAAUUGCCAAAUUAAUUAAUUAUAACCUGAAUUGACCCGAAUUGAUCCGAAUAACCCGAAUUUAAUCCGAACCCGAAUUAACCCGAAUCCGAUCCGAUUACACCCGACCCGAAUUAACCCGAAUUCAUCCGAAUGACCCGAAUUAACCCGCAUCCAAUCCGAUCCGAACUCCACCCGACUUUUUAACCCGAUCCAAUCCGAUCCGAAUUAAAUUCGGAUAGGAUCGGAUCGGGUUAUAAGUUCGGGUGGAGUUCAGAUCGAUUUUUAUCCAACCCGACCAACCCGAAACCCGAUCGGAUUGAUCCGAAUCCGACCCGAACUCGAUUUUUCCCACCCCUACUAUGGGGUUUGAUAAGACAUAGCUCCACUCUUUUGAGAAUUACCAUAUCUAUAUAGGUUAAGCAUUAUAAUUUUGUUUCACAUGAACUCGAAGAUCCAAAUUCAUCAUUACCUAAAAAUAAAAGAGCACAAAUAAAAACCAAAUGAAGCAUAAAGAAAGUAAAGGAGAAGAAAUUAAUAUCAAUAUUCUGGCACAUGUAAUUAACAAAUGUAAUUACCCUCAGAAUAUGGCAUUACGCAUCUCCAAGAGAACUGUUCUAUGAAUUUUGUAUAUCUCGAAAUGUUCUAUGAAUUUUUUGAGGAUAAAGCUCCCUUUUAGAAAUGAGGAUCGCCUGUAGGCAUGACCCCACAAUCGAGUCAGGACGAUUGAAGUUAUAGUUCAUCCCUCUGAUAAAGAUGGAGAUAAAGUUAUAAAACUGCAUGAGAACAUAAAAGCAAGUGAUUAGCAGCAGUCACGGUAGUCAAGAAAAGGAAAGAUAACUAAGAUAAAGAUGAAGCUUUUAGAGGAACAUGUCCAUUGUAAUGGAGCUUUAAAUCAUUUAAUUCAUGCUUUAAUCAUAUAAUACAAUAUACAAACAUCAUUUAAUCAUGUUACAGAUAAAUUUUGCAAAUCCACAAUAAUACACAUGCCUUCAACAUGGAACGUGUCCCUUCUCACUUAAGGGAUUCCACAGCUUCGUUGAUGUUAAAAUUAGAGCAUAGUGCGAGUUAAAUUACCAGCACCCAUAGCCUCUGUCAUAUUAGUACUAUAGAUCUCGGAGUUUUCCUUCUUAACUAAAGAGUUAUUAAAUGUCUCCUUACUAAACGUGGAACCAGUAAUUGCCUGAAAAUAAAUUUCAUCAGCACAUUUCCACAAGUGAAUGUUGUGACAUAAAAUAAAGGAGUGAGUUGUAAAGUAGAUUCCUUUGUGAUAAGGUUUAGUGUGAGUGUGAUAUAAAGUAAAGGAGUGAGUUGUAAAGUAGAUUCCUUUGUGAUAAGGUUUAAUAAUGUCUACAGUAUGUAAUAGUGGUUCCCUUGUGCCUAUAAAAGGGAACCCUUGGUUUGUUGAUAGGCACCGAGUCUUGGAGUGCAAUAUUGUAUUAUAAAUCUCUCAUUGUAUUUGUAUUCGUAUGUAUUAUGUACCAUCCUUAGAGAUAAGGAUAAGAGUGUGAGUGUGACAUAAAGUAAAGGAGUGAGUUGUAAAGUAGAUUCCUUUGUGAUAAGGUUUAGUGUGAGUGUGACAUUAAGUAAAGGAGUGAGUUGUAAAGUAGAUUCCUUUGUGAUAAGGUUUAAUAAUGUCUACAGUAUGUAAUAGUGGUUCCCUUGUGCCUAUAAAAGGGAACCCUUGGUUUGUUGAUAGGCAUCGAGUCUUGGAGUGCAAUAUUGUAUUGUAAAUCUCUCAUUCUUCUUAAUGAAAGUAACCUUCCUCUGUUUGCUUUAAAACAAAUUUUUUGGUAUCAGAGCCAUAUUUCCCAAAAGGAAACCCCUGGGUGUGCAACAAUACUAUGCUCUGUGGUUGCCGAAAUACUUCGAAUCCUCCACAUCAGAGAGUUGUUGGAUACUAGUCUGCCUGUCUAAACUUUCCAUACUAAAACACUACAGAGUAAAUUCUGUAAGGUGUGGCGCCCCCUUGAGAAGGCCAAGAAGUACCGUGUUUUAGGGCUUAUCACCCCAAGGAAAACCCUCUGAUUUCUUUUAGCCAUGGAAACCCAAAACAGUAACAGAUCCAGUAACCAACCAAUUUCUGACCAACCACCUACUUCGGCCAUCAGAGUACCAACUGAUAGUUCACCCUCUGUAAACUUUCAUUAUGAAACCCAAGAGGAUGAAAAUAGUGAGAGAGCGGUUCAGUCCUUCAGACUUGAUCUGUUAGAUCCUUACAGAUACUACCAUAUUAGCCCUACUCUUAACCACCUAAGAGCCAUAAUCCCCAUAAGACAACCUAAGCUAAAAACCAUCUACAAAUCCUCUGAAAUCACUGUCCAGUCAAUCUCCUCAAGCUUAAAAGAAACAUACCUUCCCAUAAUCUCUUCCAGCGAGAUUACAAGGUAUAAACUUCAGGGAUACAAGGGACUACACCUUGGAGCAAUCCAGAUAGGAAUACAACCCUUAUUCCUAGUUGGAAAAGAUAUCACAUGUUUCAUUGCCAUUUUAGACACCAGAUGGCAAACUUUUGAAAAGGCUUUAAUUACUGCUGUUGAAGCAGGACUCAACCAAGGCCAUGUUGUUCUCCAAGUUGAGCCAAAUUUUACCCUUGAUAUACACAAGUCAUCCCUCACAGAUGCCAUUAAGGUAUUAAUUCAGGUCAAUGGUCUAACCAUGAAACCUGAUGAAUCUGCCUUGGCAAUCCACCACACUAUGACCUAUAAAGUCCAAACCCAUCUGUUCUCUAUGAGUAGCUCUGGCAGGCCUAUUACCAGAUUUCUUGCUGGUGAUGGCAGAGUCUUUCAACCCAGGACUUAUAGGCAAAACCAACUCAUUUUUCCACCACAAUGGAUUAAUGAGUAUGAGAAAAACAACAGGCCUCAACAAAUCCAUGAGGUCCCAAAGAUAAGCAGGCUACAAGAAGGAAGAGUAUCAGUCUCUUUCCCCACAGAGACUAAAGCUCUCUAUCCAUGUGAAAAAUGCCAGCUUAAAGGAAAGCAUCCCUCCUUGUGCACACAUAUGCCAAGAAGAACUACCUCCUGCAGAAUCAUGGGUCCAGUAAACAUGAUUACCACUCCGGAUCUUGAUAAUGAGUUCAUAAAAGAUAUCCCCGAAGGAAUGUAUGCUGCUAAAUGGGUAAUACAGAAAACUAACCCAACAGAGUUCGGCCCAAUUGAGAAGGCAAUCAACUAGUCAAACAUCAAUGCUGUGGAACAAAACCAAGCCUUGGGAGACAUCAUGGUCACUCAACAGCAGAUUCUUGCUGACUUAGCUGUAAUAAGAAAACAGCUAAAGAAAAACAAAAAACAGCAUAAAAUGUCCACCCAACAGUUCUCUCAACUACAUGAAAGUGCCUCCAGGUCAGUCAACAUGAUUGUGAUGACCGGAGCAGCAGACGAAGAUGAAAUGAGAAGGACAAGGGAGAGUUAUCAACGACCAAAGGUGUCCAGGCACUGGAAAAGCAAGCCUACAAAACCAGGGCACAUCUGGGAGGAAAAUGCAUCUGGGAAUUGCCAGAAAGCAUUUUGGAGAAGCUAUGCUCCUCCUCCUCAAUACCCAUGGCCCCAGAAGGCUACUGGGUGGGAUGAGGAAACAGAUACUGAUGAUAGCUCAAGCAUCUCUUCUACGGAGAACCCUCCAAUUCCUAUUCUAAUGCAGAGAGCUAAUCCUACAAAUCCAUUUUAUGUGGAUACACGUACCAGAUUUGCAGCUUCAACAACAACACUUGGUCAAACCUCUGAUCCUACAAGGCAAACUCAAAACCCAUCAGGGACAACACAAUUCACUGCCCCUGAAUUCACAGAACCAGCAGCUAUAGAAGCCUCCUCCAAUCCGGCUGAUGCACCUACUGAUCGUGCCCCGCAUAUAGAUGAAGUCAAUCAAGGAGAAGAAUGGGAAACCCGAGUACAACUCGGACAUUCUACAACCGGAAAGAUGUUCUAGAACAUUGAUGGAAUGAAGCCUAAAGAAAGGCUGGCUUAUUUUGAGAAAAUGGUAGCAUGGUAUGAAGGAGAAUGUCAAAGAGCCCCCCAGUUGAGCAGAAGAUCAGCCGCAUUACGGCUGGUAGCAGGAUUUGUUGGAUCGCUAAGACGAUGGUGGGGACGAAAGCUUAUUGGUGAGCAACGACAAUUCAUUCUCAGCAGAGAAGAUCCUUGUGGAAGCCUAGUUGAAAAUCUAUCCUUGGAUUUUCUAGGCCAUUUCACAAGAGAAGAAGAGGUUGCUGAAAAGUAAUUUCUCCAAAACAAGUGUUGUGAUGUUCGGAAAAUGGAAGAGUACUACCUGGAGCAAGAAAGGUUGUACUACAUCUUUGACAAACAAUCCGAUACCAUACACAGGACAUUUGUGCUAAACAUGCCAGGCCCAGUUGCAGAAAUGAUGGAGGCCAAAUUCAAAGCUGAUGCAAUUACUGAUUUAGCACAGCUCAGCCUUGCCCAGCUCUACCAGAUUGCAAUGGAGCUUAUUCAAAGCCACUGCAGAUCUCAAGAUUUACGAAGACACAUGAAGCAGAUUGAGAAAUCCUCUCUGCAAAAAUUCUGUAAUGAGGAACCAAACAAAUUUGGUUGCCAACAUACAGACAAAAUGUGCUCUUGUAAUCCUGGCAGACAAAACAAAGCAAAACGCCCCUGGAAACCAUACAAAGGGAAAAAAUACCGUUUCAUCAAAAAAUGGAAACACAAGAAAGGCUCUGGCAGAUGUUUCAUCUGUGGCAAGAAAGGCCACUAUGCUAAACAAUGUAAAUCCAAAAAGAAACUCCCAGCCAAACUCAUCCAGCUGAUCUAGCAAGAUGAUUUUGAUGACGACAUUUAUACCUGGUCCGAUAGCCCCUUUGGUGCUGUCUAUACUCUUAAUGAAUAUCCUCUUUCUGAUUCUGAGGAUACUGCUUCUACAACGGAUGGUGAUUCCCCCGAUGAUGAUGAUGAUGACACUGUUCUCACUAUUCGAGAACCUCUACAAGUUACUUCUGCCAUACAACGGUCUUCCCACUUCCGACCACACAUCAAAGUCAUCCUCAAUCCCUCUGAAGAUAGCCAGGUAGCUCUUACUGCUCUCAUUGACACAGGAGCUAUGUGCUCAUUUAUCCGAGAAGCCUGUGUUCCCCGAUAAUUCGAUGUUCCUACUAAGGUUUCUUUCGGAUCCGCCAGUGGCAGGGAUUUCUACAGCAAAAAGGUUACUCGUCCUAUCGAGAUCCAACCUUUUAUGAUCCAGCAUGGAUUAUUUGCCUUUGACUAUUCCGGCGAAGAUAUCCUCCUUGGCACUGACUUUCUCCGUCUGGUUGCCCCUUUUGCCUUCUUUCCUGAAGAAUUCUCUUACACCAUUCGCAAUCCAGUCAAUGGUUCUCAGCAUACUUUUCAAGUUCCUUGGGUUGAAAAGCAAUCCAUUUUUGGAGAGGGUGGAAAACUAACAAACUACCCAAUCCAUAAAUAUGAAACCCAAAUUAAGGAACUCCUUGAAUGCUGUGCCGAAGUACCAAACCAGUUCUGGGCUAGAGAACAAUACUUUGUGUCUCUACCAUAUAAAGAUGGAUGGACCAUGCCUCACUAGACAGCCUCUCAUCCAGGCAUGCCCCAUGACGAAGAAUUGUGCAAAUCAGAGAUCCAGGCCCUUAUGGAUCUAAAGCUUAUCAGGCCCUCUAAGUCUCAUUGGGCCAGCCCAGGAUUUUAUGUCAAUAAGCAUUCAGAAAAAAUACGUGGAAAGAAGCGAUUGGUGAUAGACUACCGAAAGCUAAAUGAUUGCUUGCAAGACAUAAGGUACCCGAUUCCACGGAGGACGCAUCUUUUAAAACGCAUUGCUGGAGCAAAGGUGUUCUCAAAGUUUGACAUGAAGUCAGGCUUUUGGCAAAUUGGAAUCAAGGAAGAAGACAGACACAAGACAGCAUUUGUGGUCCCCCAUGGGCAUUAUGAAUAGAACGUGAUGCCUUUCGGCCUAAAGAAUGCACCGUCAGAAUUCCAAAAUAGAAUGGAUGAGGUGUACAAAUCCAUUUCAGAAUUCUGCCUUAUCUACAUCGAUGAUGCCCUUAUCUUCAGCAACAGUGAGGAAGAACAUGUUGAACACCUGUCUCAAUUCAAAGCUCUUACCUAUAAACAUGGGUUGGCUUUGUCAGAACCAAAGAUGAAGAUAGGACUUGAUGAGGUAGACUUUUUGGGACUACACAUCAAACAGGGAUUCAUCAUUCCUCAGCCACAUAUUGCUGAAAAAAUAUCCCAGUUCCCAGACCAGCUGUCAACCGGAAAGCAAAUCCAACAAUUCCUCGGGAUAAUCAAUUAUGCAGCAGACCAUGUGCAGAACUUGUCAAAGAUGACGAGUCAGAUAUCAAAGCACUUAAAGAAAGGGUGCCCCACAAUGGUCGGAAGAAGCGACAAAGGCUGUGACAGACUUAAAGCAAAAGUGCCAGUCACUUCCACCAUUAAAGAUACCUGACAAAGGACAGCUCAUCUUACAGACAGAUGCUAGUGACCAUUAUUGGGGAGCACUAUUGAUAGAGGAAUCCGAGGGAAACAAGAGAGUCUGUGGCUAUAAAUCUGGCCAGUUCAACGACACUCAAAGCCACUACCCAUCCUCAAAGAAAGAAGUCUUAGCAGUCACUAAAGGGAUCAAGAAGUUUCAAUUCUUUCUCUCUCUAACCCCCUUUGUGAUUGAAACAGAUUACAAGUACCUCCUGGGAUUGAUCAGAAGAAAAUAAGGAGAAAUCCCAGAUCCACAACUAGCAAGGUGGUCCGAAUCUCUCUCGAGAUUUAAGUUCGAAGUCAGACACAUCAAAGGAGAAUCCAAUACUGUAGCGGAUUUCCUUUCUAGACCAAUCACCAUGAUCACAAGAAGAAGCCUCCCGAGACGAUGGGAAGAAGGCAGCUCCAGUGCUCAUGAAAACAUAGCACACUUUCUCAAAUAUCUCAAUACUUUUAUUGCAUGGCUUCCUUCUGAAGUACAGGAAGACAUCUUUGAGAAGAUCAUCUCUCACAGGAGAGAUCCGGAAGAUCAGGCUCUGACAUGGCGGGUAUGGCAGCUCAUGGCCAUGCAAGAACACAGACCUGCCCAUAACAAGAAGUGCCAAAGAGCCUUCGAUCCGCAUCCAAACCCGGACCAGAUGCAUGAAACUAUCUUCAAGGUUGGUUGCACUUUUCACUAUGUGAUAGAUGAGAACUCCAAUUGGGGUCAUUAUGUCAUUUGCGACAUAACCCCUCAAGCUUACUGUUGAGUGUUAGAAAAUGCAUAUUUAUAAAGGAGAAAACCAUCAUUUUACAUUUCAAGUCUUACUUACAACCCUUACUUUUAUGUAUUUAACCUUCUUGUGAUGUAAUUACGUGUGUGUUAUUUUAAUUAAGUAUUUUAUGUAUUUUAGGGGCAUUAUAGUCAUUUCACAAUAAAGGAGAGAUCAGACGGCAAAACGGACAUCACUUUUGAACUCAGGACGGUCGAAAACCUUAGGAGGAGCAUAAAAGGAAAAAUGGCACUAUUCACAUGUACGGUACUAUUCACGUAUACGGUACUGUCUACGUUACUGUUCACGACACUGUUUACAUAGAUGGAUCGAUGACGUGGCAUUGACCGAUGAUGUGGCAUUGACUGAUGAGGUGUCACGAUCCUGUUGGACUAAACUUCUUAUGUACUGUUGAUGGUGACGUGGCAGCAUAUCAGUGGACGAAAAAUCUCGCGUACGGUGCAUGCAUCACACAGAAUUAUUUUCAACCAAACCGCAUUACUGUUCAUCUGGGUCAAACCGUGUUACUAUUCAUCCACGUGGUCAAACCGUGGACUGUUGACUGAUGACGUGGCGCAAUCCUGAGCGUCCAAACUGUUUUUAAUCCGAUGGCCAUGAUUUACUCCAUGUAUCUAUAAAAAGGGGGCCUCUCCCCCCUAAUUUGAUAUCUAUGAAUCCAUUUUUGGGAUCCAUUUUCUGUAAUUCUCUCUCCAUCUUGUAUUUUCUAUGUAUUUUAAUAAAUUCUCAUUUUGCCCCUAGUUCAAUUAUGAGUAGCUAAUUUUCUUUCAAGCUUGGGUUGAAGGUGAAGUCUCAACAUGUGUCAUGGGCUUAAUUUGGUAAAUUUAUUUUCUCUUCCCCUCUAGUUUUUGUGGAUGUUUUGACUUCUCAUCGACAAAUAAUAAUAAUCUUGUCUAGAUACCGCCUUGGUUACACCGGCUCUCUAGUAUAAGGUUAUUAUUAUUUGGCACGAUAAGCCCUUAGCACCAUAUUGAUUAGAGCAUGGUUCAUGAGGUGUGGAUUCCCCCUCAUGAUUUAAUUGGCAUUAAUACGGAUUAUUUAGCCCAUGAUGCAUGUUGAUACGGAUCCAGAUACCCAAGUACGUCAUUUCAAUACAUUUCUCUUCAAUUUAUUCUUGCCAUUUCAAUUCCAAUUUCAGCAUUUAUUCUCGCCAUUUUAAUUUAAGUUUUAGCAUAUUCCAAAUCAUUUCCACUACAGAUCCAAUCAACCAUUUGCAAAAUUAAUUCUAUACACAAUUAAAAUCCACCUCCUCGUGGGAUCGACACUCGUCACCAUUGAUCUAUACUACAAUAGAUUCGUGCACUUGCGAGUACAUUAAAAUUUGCACAACAAGUUUUUGGCGCCGUUGCCGGGGAGGUAAGUAAUUUUAAUUCAUAGAUUUAAUUUUUGUGAAUAAUUUCAUUUAAUUGUUUUCUUGUAUUUUUUUUUGUUCUUUAAAAAAAAAAAGUAAAUCUACAUUUAAAGGUUAAUAUUUCUUUUCUUUUUCUCUUCUUUAAAAUUCUGUAAUUUAAUUUUCAAUUUAUUUUUUCUUUGUAAUUCUUGUUUAUUUUAUUAAUUUAAUUUUUAGUUAAUUUAUUUCACGAAUUUAUUUUUAUGUAUUUUUAUAGUAAGGUUGUAAUAGCGCAAUAAGGUUAGUAUCGUAAUUUCUCCCUCUUAUUUAUUUUUAUUUGUUUUGUUCCCAUCUUUAUUUUUAUUUUUUAUUUUAUUUUGCAUGCGUGGUCGUAGGUCAUUAUUACCUAAUCUUGAACCUAUAGACCUUGAAUUAGAAAAAACACUUCGCACACACAAACACGUUAAAAACAAAAUGGACCAGCAGCUCCAGCUCCACAAAUUCCUCAAGCCUCUCAGCCCCCAUUUAGAUCAUUCAAUCAGAACCAGAACUACUCUCAACCCAAACCAUAGGAGGAUUCAUUCCAGAAUCUCAAGAAUCUUACUCACUCCACGAUUGAGCAACAGAAUCGCACCAUUGAUGGACUACGAAAUGAGUUGAGAGCGGGCUUCAACUCACAAGCCCAAUCAGUUUCAAGCCUCGAGAAGAUGGUGGGACAACUUGCUUCUUCAGUUCAGACCUUGGCAAUUACUGUUGAGAAAGGUAAAUUUCCAAGUCAACCAGUGCCUAAUCCUAAAGGAGUACAUGAAGCAAGUACCAGUUCACCACAACAGCAUAGAGAGGUCAAAGCAGUCAUGACCUUGCAAAAAGGAAAGGAAGUCGACAACAAAGUGGAGAUGCCGGUGACAAAAGAAAAUCAAAUUGUACUUGUGAAUGUUGAGGACUCACCACCGGAGGAAAAAGAAGAAACCAACCCACGAGAAUAUGUUCCUAAAGCUCCAUUUCCUCAGAGGUUAGCGAAAGGAAAGAAGGGAAAAUCCACAGGUGAGAUUCUCGAAAUCUUCAAACAGGUAAGUGUUAACAUCCCUUUACUUGAUGCUAUUAAACAAGUUCCAUCUUAUGCCAAGUUUCUUAAAGACCUUUGUACUAAAAAGAGAAACAUGCAUGUUCAAAAGAAGGCAUUUUUAACAGAAAACGUUAGUUCUAUACUCCAACAUAAAAUUCCUUUAAAAUGUAAAGACCCAGGCUCCCCCACUAUUUCAUGUAGUAUAGGGAACCACACAAUUGAGAAUGCUUUGUUGGAUUUAGGAGCUAGUGUAAAUUUGUUGCCUUAUUCAGUAUUUGUGAAACUUGGACUGGGAGAAUUACACCCAACUCCAGUGGUGUUACAGCUUGCAGAUCGGUCCACGAAAAUACCUCGUGGUAUUGUGGAGGACGUGCUGAUCCAGGUAGACAAGUUUUAUUUUCCUGUUGAUUUCAUUGUAAUUGACACUCAACCAAUACAGGAUUCAAGGAAGCACAUCCCCAUUAUUCUAGGCCGACCUUUCUUGGCAACUGCGGAUGCUCACAUUCAAUGCAGGAUUGGAAAUAUGCAGUUGUCCUUUGGCAACAUGACUAUGGAGCUGAACAUCUUCAACAUUGCCAAACAACCUCACAAUACAGAUGAUGGAAUUGUUGAUGUGGAUUUAAUUGAAGCAUUAGUUGACGACACUUUUAUUUCAAACCUUAGUGAUGAUCCUUUACAAACAUGUUUAACUCACUUUGGUUUGGAUUUUGAUAUUGACAGAUCAGUCGAUGAUGUCAACGCCCUACUUGACUCAGCACCAUCCAUGGACACUAAUAAAUGGAAGUCAAGAGUUGAACAACUAGCACCAUCAGAGAAGAAACUCAUCCCAUCAUCAGAAUCACCACCGAAACUCGAGCUCAAACCAUUGCCCAACACUUUGGAAUAUGCAUUUUUGGGGGAAGAAAGCACACUACCAGUAAUCAUCUCAUCAUCCCUAAAUGACGAACAAAAAGGUAAGUUGUUGGAUGUUUUAAAAGAGCACAAAGGAGCAUUAGGAUGGACCAUAGCAGACAUAAAAGGUAUAAACCCUGCAGAUUGCAUGCAUUACAUUCACCUUGAUGAAAAUGCUAAAUCUACUAGGGAAAUGCAACGUCGGUUAAAUCCUAAUAUGAAAGAAGUUGUUAGAGCUGAAGUCCUUAAGCUAUUAGACGCAUGUAUCAUUUACCCAAUUUCUGAUAGUUCAUGGGUCAGUCUUGUACAAGUUGUCCCCAAAAAGUCAGGAGUCACAGUAGUUACCAAUGCUGAUAAUGAAUUGAUACCAACUAGAGUAACUACAGGAUGGCGUGUAUGCAUUGAUUAUAGAAAGUUGAAUUCUGUCACACGUAAUGACCAUUUUCCUUUACCAUUUAUUGAUCAAAUGCUUGAUAGAUUAGCAGGCCAUGAAUUUUAUUGCUUUCUAGAUGGCUACUCAGGAUAUAAUCAGAUUCCCAUAGCACCAAAAGAUCAGGAGAAAACUACUUUCACUUGCCCUUUUAGCACUUUUGCAUAUAGGAGAAUGCCAUUUGGAUUAUGUAAUGCACCUGCUACAUUCCAACGAUGCAUGUUGAGCAUUUUUUCUGAUAUGGUUGAACGAUUCCUUGAAGUCUUUAUGGAUGAUUUUUCUGUCUUUGGUGAUUCAUUUGAUCAAUGUUUACAUCAUCUAACGCUAGUUCUGCAGAGAUGUACCGAGAAGAACUUAGUCUUGAAUUGGGAGAAGUGCCAUUUUAUGGUAAAACAAGGUAUUGUUCUCGGUCACAUCAUAUCAAGCAAAGGUAUUGAGGUUGACAAAGCCAAGGUGGAUCUCAUUUCUAAUCUUCCUCCACCCAAAACAGUCAGAGAAGUAAGAUCUUUCCUUGGGCAUGCUGGUUUCUAUAGACGUUUCAUUAAAGAUUUUAGCAAAGUUUCUAGACCCUUAUGCAAUCUACUUGCUAAGGAUGUACCUUUUAUCUUUAAUGAUUCAUAUCUUGUGGCAUUUGAAAAAUUAAAGCAGUUGUUGACAUUAUCACCCAUCAUUCAGGCCCCAAACUGGAGCUUACCAUUUGAGCUCAUGUGUGAUGCAUCUGAUUAUGCAGUAGGAGCAGUAUUAGGACAAAGAGUUGAUCGAAUUCCCCAUGUUAUUUACUAUGUUAGUAUGACAUUGAAUGAUGCACAGUUGAACUAUUCAACUACUGAAAAAGAAAUGCUAGCAGUAGUGUUUGCAUUAGAGAAAUUUCGAUCUUAUCUCAUUGGUUGUAAAAUAAUUAUAUUCACAGAUCAUGCUGCUCUUAAAUAUCUUCUCACAAAGAAAGAUGCAAAAGCUAGACUAAUUCGUUGGGUGUUACUUUUGCAGGAAUUUGACUUGGAAUUCAAAGAUAAGAAAGGCACAGAGAAUGUUGUAGCUGACCAUCUCUCUCGCCUCCAUUUUGAUACAAUUAUGGAACCAUUACCAUUGAAUGAGUCAUUUCCAGAUGAACAAUUAAUGAAUGUGGAAGUAUUACCUUGGUAUGCUGAUAUAGUUAAUUAUCUUGUUAUAGGUAAACUUCCAGAGCAUUGGACCAAGCAAGACAAGGCUAAAUUCUUUGCGGAAAUAAAGAAUUUCUUUUGGGAUGACCCGUAUUUGUUCAAGUAUUGUGCAGAUCAAAUUGUUAGGCGAUGUGUCCCAGAAAGUGAUAUUCAAAAUAUCCUUUCAUUCUGCCAUGAACAAGCGUGUGGAGGCCAUUUUAGUGCUAAGAAAACAACUACAAAAGUUUUACAAUGUGGUUUCUAUUGGCCAACUAUAUUUCGAGAUGCUUACACUUUCUGUUCUUCAUGUGAUAGGUGUCAACGGAUGGGGAGCAUUACACGAAGAAACAUGAUGCCACUAAAUCCAAUUUUAGUGGUUGAGAUUUUUGACGUAUGGGGUAUCGACUUCAUAGGACCCUUUCCCCCUUCUUUUGGCCAUCAAUACAUAUUGGUUGGUGUUGACUACGUAUCGAAAUGGGUAGAAGCAAUUCCAUGUAGAACCAAUGAUCACAAGGUGGUGAUAGGAUUUUUGAAAAGCAACAUUGUUUCACGCUUUGGAUUCCCUCGAGCAAUAAUCAGUGAUGGUGGUGCCCACUUUUGUAACAAAGCAUUCAAAGCUCUUUUGACAAAAUAUUCAAUCACUCACAAAGUGGCGACCCCGUAUCAUCCGCAAACCAGUGGCCAAGUUGAAAUCUCCAAUCGAGAAAUAAAGCACAUAUUAGAAAAGACGGUGAGGCCGGACAGAAAAGAUUGGUCAUUAAGACUUGAUGAUGCCUUAUGGGCAUAUAGAAUGGCUUUCAAGACCCCGAUUGGGAUGUCACCCUACAGGCUAGUGUAUGGAAAAGCUUGCCACCUACCUGUGGAACUCGAGCAUCGUGCAUAUUGGGCCAUCAAGAAAUUCAACUUUGACAUGCAGCAAGCCAGCUCAGAAAGAAGAUUACAACUGGCAGAACUUGAAGAAAUUCGCAAUGAUGCAUACGAAAAUGCCAAGAUUUACAAGCAACGAAUGAAAGUCUUUCAUGACAAGCACAUUAUGAGAAAAUCGUUCACUCCAGGUCAGAAAGUGCUUUUAUUCAAUUCUCGUUUGCACUUAUUCCCAGGUAAGUUACGCUCUCGAUGGUCUGGUCCCUUUAUUGUUCAUACUGUUUUUCCACAUGGGGCAAUUGAAAUUAAGGACCCAAAGAACGGUGUCACGUUUAAAGUUAAUGAUCAAAGAUUAAAGCCAUAUCUUGAGUACCAACCACAUGGAGAAGACACCGAAAUAAAUUUGAGUGACCCACCAGAUUUGAAUUGAUUUUUUCUUUUUGUUGAUUUGAUUUUUCUUUCUUUCUUUUUAUUAUUCUUUUGCUAAUUGAAAUUAUUUUUGCAUAAGUGUGUUUGUUUUACCAUUAAGUUUUUUUUUUCUUAUCAUUGUUAAUCAUGAGUACCAUACUUAGACCGUUCCUCCUGAACAUUCUUAAACCACUUCAACGUGUCAAAACUCAUCUCAAAAAGCAGAUUCAAUUUUGUAAAACACAACGCAUUUGGGCUCUACAACCACCAGAGUUAGUAGCCUAUGUUGAGGGUUUAGAACGCCAACUCAGAGACAUUGAGAGAAGUGUUUACGACAUCCAGUUGGAGCUUGAGGUAAAUUCAAUAAGAGGACGAUUUUAAUUUUCUUUGUGUGUUUUGAUUUGUUUUUUCUGUUUGUGUGCUUUAGUUUGUUACCCCGGUGAAAUGGCAGAUAACGGUACUCCGUGACAAUCAAGUCGGUUACUUCAGUUUCCCACAAUAACUGACAUUCUGAGGCGAAAGUAUGGACAGAAACGAGAUUCUAGCGAAGCUUCACAAGCGAUUCCCUUCACUUCCUCAGAAUGCCCUCCUUACAAUCUAUAAAGCUCGGUCCGAACGCAUGCGAUUACUCAUGAAGAAUAACAUACCUGCUGACAUCCGUUGGUUAAUCGAGGCUAAAGUACGAUCGGCAGGUGAGUUACCUCCAAAAUUUAUUGCAUUCAUGCCUGGUUGUGGUAAAGGAAAUUAUGCAAGAAAACGACGAGCUCGAAGAAUUUCUGUUGCUUGUCAUAAGUGUGCCAAAAUGAGUUGCGAUAGAAACCCAUGUUCUUUAGGAAUGGUGUCUGAUAACAGGGAAGAUAAGAUUCAAUUCAUUAGGGAUGGCUUGAAUAAGGAGUCAUUGGAUGAUAUCCUUUUGUCUCUUGAAACGCAUCCCAGUGGAUAUGUGCAAGGAGCGAUUCUCCGGUUAUGGCCAUUAUUCCAGAAAGAGCAUGCAUGAUAUAGUCUCGGGAAUCUGACUAUAAACGACCCUGUUUGUCAGUUUAUAAGAAAACUGGAUGGGAAGCCGAUCCUCAACCCAUAGAGGGCGUUCAAGCCGUUUCUGGACGUAAAACCAGAGGAAGAUGUGAGCCACAGUUGCAACUACGUGUAAAUAUCCUUUUACUUUACUGUUAUUUUAUUUCAUUUCACUGUUGUUUUAUUGUUUGCAUUAUUGUCUUUAAUAAUUUUGUUAUUGUUUGCUUUUUCCUUUUUACUGUUUCCUUUUUGACUCGCGAGCCACGUGCUUUACGCGUUAUUUGACACUGACAUGUUACCUCAUUCACAGCUAUGAUCCAUUGUCACCAAGAUUUUUAAAUAUAACUUUUUGUUACGAACUCACAAAUUGUUUUUUAGAAGUAUCACAAUGGCAGCUACUCCCAAUAGACAAUUCAAGAACAUUUGUGUGCUUUCUGGAUUUACCUAUGGCAAACAUAAAGAGUUCGUGGAGGCAGCCAUAGAUCUUGGUCGAAGCAUAGCAGCGAGAAAAUUACACUUGGUGUAUGGAGGAGGUAACCGAGGGUUAUCAAAAAUGGUCUCAGAAGCAGCUUUUAUCAGAUGAAGUCAAGUGUUAGGCAUCAUCCCAAGAAUCCUAAAACCAUUGGGCAGUUCGUCUGACUCAUCAACUGGAGAAGAGUUAGUCGUCUCAGGUAUGCAAGAAAGAAUAACUGAAAUGCUUAAUCAUGCUGAUGCUUUUAUUUUCCUUCCAGGAGAUCUUACAACACUAGAGGCACUUAUCACACUAGCAUCUUGGGCCCAUCUGCACAUCCACCAAAAACCCAUCGGUUUGUUAAAUGUCAAUAACUUUUAUGAUGGCUUUAUCGCAUUUCUUAACCAUGCAAUAAAAAACUAUUUCAUUCCUUCUAAUGUGAAAAAACUCUUUAUUUGUGCUCACACUGCUAAUGAGCUACUUGAUAUAUUACAAGCUUAUAAACCGGAGCCAGACCCCUGGACCUUUGUGUUGGAGCGACCAAAUAAUGAUGGUAACAGUAGCCGCAGUAAGAAGUACAAAUUAGAUUUAACUCUCCGCCUGUAAAUAUUUUCUUCUGUGUUGCACCACCCAGGUGAUGUCUUCUAAACUCUACUUCUUUCCUUUAAAACAUUGAGGACAAUGUUUCGUUCUGGUUGGGGGGAGGGAAUAGUCGACAAUUGUGGAAUCUUGGUUAAGUUUUUACUGAUUUUUUGUUGUAGAAACUAACUGUUGCUAACGUUUUGUGUUGAAGAUGGCUGAAUAUGGAGUGUAGUUACUCUAGAAACGCAUCUUCAUCGUUUAAAAAAAAAACAAAAAAAAAAUCGUUUUCUUCCUCUUUCUCCUUUAUAAAUAUAUAUUUUCAAAUUUUUGAGUCGAAGAUGGCUGAAUAUGGAGUGUAGUACCUCUAGAAACGCAUCUUCUUAGUUAAAAAAAAAAAUUUAAUUUUCUACAUCAUUUUCACAUUUCUGCAUGCAUAUUUUCCUUUCAUGUUUAGAAUAGGUUGGGGGGUAGAAUGUUGUUUAAAAAAAAAAUUUGUGUUAUUUGUUUUAACAUUGGAUGACAUGAUUAAUUUCAAAUUUUAGUAUUUGUAUUAUCUUUGGCCUUAAGUGAUGUUACGCUAUGUUUGCUACUUUACAUGUUGAUAUCGGAGACAAAUAUGAGUUGCUUGAAGGAAUGAACAUGUCAUAAAUAAGUGCCAAGUGAGUUGUUGAACCUAUCAUUUUCUUAGAGAGUAACCCUUUUGCCCAUUCUCUAUACAGCUUAGCAGUUUAUUAUUUUAUACACGAUCUCUAGAUUUCUUUUAAGUUAACCCUUUAAAAAAAAUAUGGUAAAAUUAAAAAAAAGAAAAAAGAAAAAAAUGUGUGUUGCUACAUUGGGAGGCCCAUCUAACUAGUAGAUAUGGAUAAUUAUUUAGAGCCCUAAAAGACGAUGAAAAGGCCAUCUUUGAUCCGUUUGAGCCUUUCUAGCCAUCCAUUUUAUUAAAUAUCCAUAGUUACCCCUUUUGAGCCUUUAAAAAAAAAAAAAAAAAAAGAACAAAAACCUUUUCUUUGUCAACUUAUCAUCUUGACCCACUCCGAUUUGGAAUAUUACCCAAUGUCUUUUAAGUUCCAUCACCUAUUUAUGUUUGAGAAAAUGUAAAUAAUUAUGUUGUUCAGUGAAGUUAUGCCAAAUAAAAGCAAAAAGAAAAAAAAAACAAAAACAAAAGUUGUUUCAAAAGAAUAAAAAUAACAAUAAUAGGUGAAAUCCACCUUGCAACUUUAAAAAAAAAAAAAAAAAUUCUGCAUUUUUCUCAAACAUACACUUUGUUUUCCUUAUUUCCUUUCUUUGUUAGCCAUAUCCCUAGCCUACGUUACGUCCUAAUAAAAGUCCUUCUUGAUUUUAGGGAACUAUAGUUUGAAGUAGAAGCUAGUUAUAUGGGCUAAAAAGAUGUAGUGAUGCAUAAUUAAAAAAAAAAGAAAGAUAAAUAAAGUGGGUUGACUAACAUUUUAUUUGACUUGAGAUCGUAUUAUUUCUAAGCUGAGGGCAUAUUUAUUUCAUCUUGGUGAGAGCAUGUGAUAUCAUUUCUUUAUUAUUUUCUCUCUCAAUUACCAUUCAUUGGAGUGACUAUGUUUAUUGGGUUUUAAUUUCUUUGUGAGAGUGUCACUACUUCCAGUGAGAUUUUGGGGUUUGACAUGUCAUUCUUGAAAGUAGCUAUAACAAAGUCUACUGGGCUAAUUCAUGUGGAUGGUUGAUGUGGGUGUGAUGUUGCUUUAGACUGGAGAUAAUGCUUAUACUUUUAUUUGAUUGCUAUAAUUAAUCUGAUUGAAUAAACACGAGUGUUUCUUAAAAAAAAAAAAAAUCAUUUUGAAUUUGAAUUUUGUUUUCGCAUUAUUUGCUAGGGACUAGCAAUAAGCUGGUUGGGGGGUGUGUUGAGUGUUAGAAAAUGCAUAUUUAUAAAGGAGAAAAUCGUCAUUUUACAUUUCAAGUCUUACUAACAACCCUUACUUUUAUGUAUUUAACCUUCUUGUGAUGUAAUUACGUGUGUGUUAUUUUAAUUAUGUAUUUUAGGGGUAUUAUAGUCAUUUCACAAUAAAGGAGAGAUCAGACGGCAAAACGGACAUCACUUUUGAACUCAGGACGGUCGAAAACCUUAGGAGGAGCAUAAAAGGAAAAAUGGCACUACUCACAUGUACGGUACUAUUCACGUAUACGGUACUGUCUACGUUACUGUUCACGACACUGUUUACAUAGAUGGAUCGAUGACGUGGCAUUGACUGAUGAUGUGGCAUUGACUGAUGAGGUGUCACGAUCCUGUUGGACUAAACUUCUUAUGUACUGUUGAUGGUGACGUGGCAGCAUAUCAGUGGACGAAAAAUCUCGCGUACGGUGCAUGCAUCACACAGGAUUAUUUUCAACCAAACCGCGUUACUGUUCAUCUGGGUCAAACCGUGUUACUAUUCAUCCACGUGGUCAAACCGUGGACUGUUGACUGAUGACGUGGCGCAAUCCUGAGCGUCCAAACUGUUUUUAAUCCGAUGGCCAUGAUUUACUCCAUGUAUCUAUAAAAAGGGGGCCUCCCCCCCCUAAUUUGAUAUCUCUGAAUCUAUUUUUGGGAUCCAUUUUCUGUAAUUCUCUCUCCAUCUUGUAUUUUCUACGUAUUUUAAUAAAUUCCCAUUUUGCCCCUAGUUCAAUUAUGAGUAGCUAAUUUUCUUUCAAGCUUGGGUUGAAAGUGAAGUCUCAACAUGUGUCAUGGGCUUAAUUUGGUAAAUUUAUUUUCUCUUCCCCUCUAGUUUUUGUGGAUGUUUUGACUUCUCGUCGACAAAUAAUAAUAAUCUUGUCUAGAUACCGCCUUGGUUACACCGGCUCUCUAGUAUAAGGUUAUUAUUAUUUGGCACGAUAAGCCCUUAGCACCAUAUUGAUUAGAGCGUGGUUCAUGAGGUGUGGAUUCCCCCCUCAUGAUUUAAUUGGCAUUAAUACGGAUUAUUUAGCCCAUGAUGCAUGUUGAUACGGAUCCAGAUACCCAAGUACGUCAUUUCAAUACAUUUCUCUUCAAUUUAUUCUUGCCAUUUCAAUUCCAAUUUCAGCAUUUAUUCUCGCCAUUUUAAUUUAAGUUUUAGCAUAUUCCAAAUCAUUUCCACCACAGAUCCAAUCAACCAUUUGUAAAAUUAAUUCUAUACACAAUUAAAAUCCACCUCCUCGUGGGAUCGACACUCGUCACCAUUGAUCUAUACUACAAUAGAUUCGUGCACUUGCGAGUACAUUAAAAUUUGCACAACACUUACUACAUCACAUGGUACUGGCUCAACAUAUACCCCGUGGCAAUACUGUUCGAACCAAACCUGAUCCAUACCAGCCGAAGAUACGGUAAAGGAAGAUGGUUCGAUCGAAUGUUCGCCCCCAUCUUUGAAGAUGUCCUCACACUAAAGCUCAUCAACGGUUAUCACAUCACCCACUCUACAAUAGUGAUCGUGAAACUCACAGAUAUUUGGGGACGGUACAAAGAGCCUUUCAUACAGGUAGUCCAACAUGACCACUCCCAUGAAGAAAUCGAUUCCAUGUGGACUGGUUGCUGGAACGCUAGGCAAGCCUUAGCAGAGGUAUACGGGACUGUUCCCAUGUACAACACCCACAGUCCAGUAUCCCCACAAGUCUGCAGUACUCCAGACCUUUACUACAGAGAGGAGAUACGAAAUCUCAAACUACAUGGAGACGAAGACGAAGCAGCCGACAUGCAGCAUAAGUAUAAUGACUACCUUUCCCGACAUGGCAGGCCACAAGACAUCACCUAUCUAGAUACCCCAGAUAUUGACAGAUGGAGGAACGAACUUGAAGAUAUGGCCAACUGGCCAGACCUCCAAGAAUGGCCCCAGCCAGAACUAAACCCACAGCCAGACCCGAUUUGGCCCAAUAUUGGAGAAGACAUGGACGCCGCAUCUGAAGAACGAUGGAACCAUCGGUCAGGACGUAGCACGCCAACUAGUGGCAACUCUGGACUGUAGCGGAAGCUUAGUGGACCCCGCAGUGGAAACAUUGGUGAUAAUAAUAUAGUGUAUUUGUAUUCGUAUGUAUUAUGUACCAUCCUUAGAGAUAAGGAUAAGAGUGUGAGUGUGACAUAAAGUAAAGGAGUGAGUUGUAAAGUAGAUUCCUUUGUGAUAAGGUUUAGUGUGAGUGUGAUAUAAAGUAAAGGAGUGAGUUGUAAAGUAUAUUCCUUUAUGAUAAGGUUUAAUAAUGUCUACAGUAUGUAAUAGUGGUUCCCUUGUGCCUAUAAAAGGGAACCCUUGGUUUGUUGAUAGGGAUCGAGUCUUGGAGUGCAAUAUUGUAUUGUAAAUCUCUCAUUCUUCUUAAUGAAAGUAACCUUCCUCUGUUUGCUCUAAGCAUCUGUUUUUGUAUAUUUGUAUUCGUAUGUAUUAUGUUUGCUCUGUUUGCUCUGUUUGCUCUAAGUAACCUUCCUCUCGCUCUGAUACCAAAAAAUCUGUUUUGCUUUCUUUUGUCGGCCAGGAUUACAAGAGCACAUUUUGUCUGUAUGUUGGCAACCAAAUUUGUUUGGUUCCUCAUUACAGAAUUUUUGCAGAGAGGAUUUCUCAAUCUGCUUCAUGUGUCUUCGUAAAUCUUGAGAUCUGCAGUGGCUUUGAAUAAGCUCCAUUGCAAUCUGGUAGAGCUGGGCAAGGCUGAGCUGUGCUAAAUCAGUAAUUGCAUCAGCUUUGAAUUUGGCCUCCAUCAUUUCUGCAACUAGGCCUGACAUGUUUAGCACAAAUGUCCUGUGUAUGGUAUCGGAUUGUUUGUCAAAGAUGUAGUACAACCUUUCCUGCUCCAGGUAGUACUCUUCCAUUUUCCGAACAUCACAACACUUGUUUUGGAGAAAUUGCUUUUCAGCAACCUCUUCUUCUCUUGUGAAAUGGCCUAGAAAAUCCAAGGAUAGAUUUUCAACUAGGCUUCCAUAAGGAUCUUGUCUGCUGAGAAUGAAUUGUCGUUGCUCACCAGUAAGCUUUCGUCCCCACCAUCGUCUUAGCGAUCCAACAAAUCCUGCUACCAGCCGUAAUGCGGCUGAUCUUCUGCUUAACUGGGGGCUCUUUGACAUUCUCCUUCAUACCAUGCUACCAUUUUCUUAAAAUAAGCCAGCCUUUCUUUAGGCUUCAUUCCAUCAAUGUUCCAGAACAUCUUUCCGGUUGUGGAAUGUCCGAGUUGUACUCGGGUUUCCCAUUCUUCUCCUUGAUUGACUUCAUCUAUAUACGGGGCAUGAUCAGUAGGUGCAUCAGCCGGAUUGGAGGAGGCUUCUGUAGCUGCUGGUUCUGUGAAUUCAGGGGCAGUGAAUUGUGUUGUCCCUGAUGGGUUUUAAGUUUGCCUUGUAGGAUCAGAGGUUUGCCCAGGUGUUGUUGUUGAAGCUGCAAAUCUGGUACGUGUAUCCACAUAAAAUGGAUUUGUAGGAUUAGCUCUCUGCAUUAAAAUAGGAAUUGGAGGGUUCUCCGUAGAAGAGAUGCUUGAGCUAUCAUCAGUAUCUGUUUCCUCAUCCCACCCAGUAGCCUUCUGGGGCCAUGGGUAUUGAGGAGGAGGAGCAUAGCUUCUCCAAAAUGCUUUCUGGCAAUUCCCAGAUGCAUUUUCCUCCCAGAUGUGCCCUGGUUUUGUAGGCUUGCUCUUCCAGUGCCUGGACACCUUUAGUCGUUGACAACUCUCCCUUGUCCUUCUCAUUUCAUCUUCGUCUACUGCUCCGGUCAUCACAAUCAUGUUGACUGACCUGGAGGCACUUUCAUGUAGUUGAGAGAACUGUUGGGUGGACAUUUUAUGCUGUUUUUUAUUUUUCUUUAGCUGUUUUCUGAUUACAGCUAAGUCAGCAAGAAUCUGCUGUUGAGUGACCAUGAUGUCUCCCAAGGCUUGGUUUUGUUCCACAGCAUUGAUGUUUGACCAGUUGAUUGCCUUCUCAAUUGGGCCGAACUCUGUUGGGUUAGUUUUCUGUAUUACCCAUUUGGCAGCAUACAUUCCUCCGGGGAUAUCUUUUAUGAACUCAUUAUCAAGAUCCGGAGUGGUAAUCAUGUUUACUGGACCCAUGAUUCUGCAGGAGGUAGUUCUUCUUGGCAUAUGUGUGCACAAGAAGGGAUGCUUUCCCUCAAGCUGGCAUUUUUCACAUGGAUAGAGAGCUUUAGUCUCUGUGGGGAAAGAGACUGAUACUCUUCCUUCUUGUAGCCUGCUUAUCUUUGGGAUCUCAUGGAUUUGUUGAGGCCUGUUGUUUUUCUCAUACUCAUUAAUCCAUUGUGGUGGAAAAAUGAGUUGGUUUUACCUAUAAGUCCUGGGUUGAAAGACUCUGCCAUCACCAGCAAGAAAUCUGGUAAUAGGCCUGCCAGAGCUACUCAUAGAGAACAGAUGGGUUUGGACUUUAUAGGUCAUAGUGUGGUGGAUUGCCAAGGCAGAUUCAUCAGGUUUCAUGGUUAGACCAUUGACCUGAAUUAAUACCUUAAUGGCAUCUGUGAGGGAUGGCUUGUGUAUAUCAAGGGUAAAAUUUGGCUCAACUUGGAGAACAAGAUGGCCUUGGUUGAGUCCUGCUUCAACAGCAGUAAUUAAAGCCUUUUCAAAAGUUUGCCAUCUGGUGUCGAGAAUGGCAAUAAAACAUGUAAUAUCUUUUCCAGCUAGGAAUAAAGGUUGUAUCCUUAUCUGGAUUGCUCCAAGGUGUAGUCCCUUGUAUCCCUGAAGUUUAUACCUUGUAAUCUCGCUGGAAGAGAUUAUGGGAAGGUAUGUUUCUUUUGAGCUUGAGGAGAUUGACUGGACAGUGAUUUCAGAGGAUUUGUAGAUGGUUUUUAGCUUAGGUUGUCUUAUGGGGAUUAUGGCUCUUAGGUGGUUAAGAGUAGGGCUAAUAUGGUAGUAUCUGUAAGGAUCUAACGGAUCAAGUCUGAAGGACUGAACUGCUCUCUCACUAUUUUCAUCCCCUUGGGUUUCAUAAUGAAAGUUUACAGAGGGUAAACUAUCAGUUGGUACUCUGAUGGCCGAAGUAGAUGGUUGGUCAGAAAUUGGUUGGUUACUGGAUCUGUUACUGUUUUGGGUUUCCAUGGCUAAAAGAAAUCAGAGGGUUUUCCUUGGGGUGAUAAGCCCUAAAACACGGCACUUCUUGGCCUUCUCAAGGGGGCGCCGCACCUUACAAAAUUUACUCUGUACUGUUUUAGUAUGGAAAGUUUAGACAGGCAGACUAGUAUCCAACAACUUUAUGAUGUGGAGGAUCCGAAGUAUUUCGGCAACCACAGAGCAUAGUAUUGUUGCACACCCAGGGGUUUCCUUUUGGGAAAUAUGGCUCUGAUACCAAAAAAUCUGUUUUAGAGCAAACAGAGGAAGGUUACUUUCAUUAAGAGGAAUGAGAGAUUUAAAAUACAAUAUUGCACUCCAAGACUCGAUGCCUAUCAAUAAACCAAGGGUUCCCUUUUAUAGGCACAAGGGAACCACUAUUACAUACUGUAGACAUUAUUAAACCUUAUCACAAAGGAAUCUACUUUACAACUCACUCCUUUACUUUAUAUCACACUCACACUAAACCUUAUCACAAAGGAAUCUACUUUACAACUCACUCCUUUACUUUAUGUCAUACUCACACGCUUAUCCUUAUCUCUAAGGAUGGUAAACAAUACAUAUGAAUACAAAUACACUAUAUUAUUAUUGGUGGCCCAUGCAGGUCUGACUUCUACAGUAUUGGAUACAAAUCUAGAAAGGAAAUCCGCUACAGUAUUGGAUUCUCCUUUGAUGUGUCUGACUUCGAACUUAAAUCUCGAGAGAGAUUCGGACAACCUUGCUAGUUGUGGAUCUGGGAUUUCUCCUUCUUUUCUUCUGAUCAAUCCCAGCAGGUACUUAUAAUCUGUUUCAAUCAUAAAGGGGGUUAGAGAGAGAAAGAAUUGAAACUUCUUGAUCCCUUUGGUGACUGCUAAGACUUCUUUCUUUGAGGAUGGGUAGUGGCUUUGAGCGACACCAGAUGGCAAACUUUUGAAAAGGCUUUAAUUACUGCUGUUGAAGCAGGACUCAACCAAGGCCAUGUUGUUCUCCAAGUUUAGCCAAAUUUUACCCUUGAUAUACACAAGCCAUCCCUCACAGAUGCCAUUAAGGUAUUAAUUCAGGUCAAUGGUCUAACCAUGAAACCUGAUGAAUCUGCCUUGGCAAUCCACUACACUAUGACCUAUAAAGUCCAAACCCAUCUGUUCUCUAUGAGUAGCUCUGGCAGGCCUAUUACCAGAUUUCUUGUUGGUGAUGGUAGAGUCUUUCAACCCAGGACUUAUAGGCAAAACCAACUCAUUUUUCCACCACAAUGGAUUAAUGAGUAUGAGAAAAACAACAGGCCUCAACAAAUCCAUGAAAUCCCAAAGAUAAGCAGGCUACAAGAAGGAAGAGUAUCAGUCUCUUUCCCCACAGAGACUAAAGCUCUCUAUCCAUGUGAAAAAUGCCAGCUUGAAGGAAAGCAUCCCUCCUUGUGCACACAUAUGCCAAGAAGAACUACCUCCUGCAGAAUCAUGGGUCCAGUAAACAUGAUUACCACUUCGGAUCUUGAUAAUAAGUUCAUAAAAGAUAUCCCCGGAGGAAUGUAUGCUGCCAAAUGGGUAAUACAGAAAACUAACCCAACAGAGUUCGGCCCAAUUGAGAAGGCAAUCAACUGGUCAAACAUCAAUGCUGUGGAACAAAACCAAGCCUUGGGAGACAUCAUGGUCACUCAACAGCAGAUUCUUGCUGACUUAGCUGUAAUCAGAAAACAGCUAAAGAAAAACAAAAAACAGCAUAAAAUGUCCACCCAACAGUUCUCUCAACUACAUGAAAGUGCCUCCAGGUCAGUCAACAUGAUUGUGAUGACUGGAGCAGCAGACCAAGAUGAAAUGAGAAGGACAAGGGAGAGUUAUCAACAACCAAAGGUGUCCAGGCACUGGAAGAGCAAGCCUACUAAACCAUGGCACAUCUGGGAGGAAAAUGCAUCUGGGAAUUGCCAGAAAGCAUUUUGGAGAAGCUAUGCUCCUCCUCCUCAAUACCCAUGGCCCCAGAAGGCUACUGGGUGGGACGAGGAAACAGAUACUGAUGAUAGCUCAAGCAUCUCUUCUACGGAGAACCCUCCAAUUCCUAUUCUAAUGCAGAGAGCUAAUCCUACAAAUCCAUUUUAUGUGGAUACACGUACCAGAUUUGCAGCUUCAACAACAACACCUGGCCAAACCUCUGAUCCUACAAGGCAAACUCAAAACCCAUAAGGGACAACACAAUUCACUGCCCCUGAAUUCACAGAACCAGCACCUACAGAAGCCUCCUCCAAUCCGGCUGAUGCACCUACUGAUCGUGCCCCUCAUAUAGAUGAAGUCAAUCAAGGAGAAGAAUGGGAAACCCGAGUACAACUCGGACAUUCCACAACCGGAAAGAUGUUCUGGAACAUUGAUGGAAUGAAGCCUAAAGAAAGGCUGGCUUAUUUUGAGAAAAUGGUAGCAUGGUAUGAAGGAGAAUGUCAAAGAGCCCCCCAGUUGAGCAGAAGAUCAGCCGCAUUACGGCUGGUAGCAGGAUUUGUUGGAUCGCUAAGACGAUGGUGGGGACGAAAGCUUACUGGUGAGCAACGACAAUUCAUUCUCAGCAUAGAAGAUCCUUGUGGAAGCCUAGUUGAAAAUCUAUCCUUGGAUUUUCUAGGCCAUUUCACAAGAGAAGAAGAGGUUGCUGAAAAGCAAUUUCUCCAAAACAAGUGUUGUGAUGUUCGGAAAAUGGAAGAGUACUACCUGGAGCAAGAAAGGUUGUACUACAUCUUUGACAAACAAUCCGAUACCAUACACAGGACAUUUGUGCUAAACAUGCCAGGCCCAGUUGCAGAAAUGAUGGAGGCCAAAUUCAAAGCUGAUGCAAUUACUGAUUUAGCACAGCUCAGCCUUGCCCAGCUCUACCAGAUUGCAAUGGAGUUUAUUCAAAGCCACUGCAGAUCUCAAGAUUUACGAAGACACAUGAAGCAGAUUGAGAAAUCCUCUCUGCAAAAAUUCUGUAAUGAGGAACCAAACAAAUUUGGUUGCCAACAUACAGACAAAACGUGCUCUUGUAAUUCUGGCAGACAAAAGAAAGCAAAACGCCCCUGGAAACCAUACAAAGGGAAAAAAAUACCGUUUCAUCAAAAAAUGGAAACACAAGAAAGGCUCUGGCAGAUGUUUCAUCGGUGGCAAGAAAGGCCACUAUGCUAAACAAUGUAAAUCCAAAAAGAAACUCCCAGCCAAACUCAUCCAGCUGAUCCAGCAAGAUGAUUUUGAUGACGACAUUUAUACCUGGUCCGAUAGCCCCUUUGGUGCUGUCUAUACUCUUGAUGAAUAUCCUCUUUCUGAUUCUGAGGAUACUGCUUCUACAACGGACGGUGAUUCCCCCGAUGAUGAUGAUGAUGACACUGUUCUCACUGUUCGAGAACCUCUACAAGUUACUUCUGCCAUACAACGGUCUUCCCACUUCCGACCACACAUCAAAGUCAUCCUCAAUCCCUCUGAAGAUAGCCAGGUAGCUCUUACUGCUCUCAUUGACAGAGGAGCUAUGUGCUCAUUUAUCCGAGAAGCCUGUGUUCCCCGAUAAUUCUAUGUUCCUACUAAGGUUUCUUUCGGAUCCGCCAGUGGCAGGGAUUUCUACAGCAAAAAGGUUACUCGUCCUAUCGAGAUCCAACCUUUUAUGAUCCAGCAUGGAUUCUUUGCCUUUGACUAUUCCGGCGAAGAUAUCCUCCUUGGCACCGACUUUCUCCGUCUGGUUGCCCCUUUUGCCUUCUUUCCUGAAGGAUUCUCUUACACCAUCCGCAAUCCAGUCGAUGGUUCUCAGCAUACUUUUCAAGUUCCUUGGGUUGAAAAGCAAUACAUUUUUGGAGAGGGUGGAAAACUAACAAACUACCCAAUCCAUAAAUAUGAACCCCAAAUUAAGGAACUCCUUGAAUGCUGUGCCGAAGUACCAAACCAGUUCUGGGCUAGAGAACAAUACUUUGUGUCUCUACCAUAUAAAGAUGGAUGGACCAUGCCUCACCAGACAACCUCUCAUCCAGGCAUGCCCCAUGACGAAGAAUUGUGCAAAUCAGAGAUCCAGGCCCUUAUGGAUCUAAAGCUCAUCAGGCCCUCUAAGUCUCAUUGGGCCAGCCCAGCAUUCUAUGUCAACAAGCAUUCAGAACAAAUACGUGGAAAGAAGCGAUUGGUGAUAGACUACCGAAAGCUAAAUGAUUGCUUGCAAGACAUAAGGUACCCGAUUCCACGGAGGACGCAUCUUUUGAAACGCAUCGCUGGAGCAAAGGUGUUCUCAAAGUUUGACAUGAAGUCAGGCUUUUGGCAAAUUGGAAUCAAGGAAGAAGACAGACACAAGACAGCAUUUGUGGUCCCCCAUGGGCAUUAUGAAUGGAACGUGAUGCCUUUCGGCCUAAAGAAUGCACCGUCAGAAUUCCAAAACAGAAUGGAUGAGGUGUACAAAUCUAUUUCAGAAUUCUGCCUUAUCUACAUCGAUGAUGCCCUUAUCUUCAGCAACAGUGAGGAAGAACAUGCUGAACACCUGUCUCAAUUCAAAGCUCUUACCUAUAAACAUGGGUUGGCUUUGUCAGAACCAAAGAUGAAGAUAUGACUUGAUGAGGUAGACUUUUUGGGACUACACAUCAAAUAGGGAUUCAUCAUUCCUCAGCCACAUAUUGCUGAAAAAAUAUCCCAGUUCCCAGACCAGCUGUCAACCAGAAAGCAAAUCCAACAAUUCCUCGGGAUAAUCAAUUAUGCAGCAGACCAUGUGCAGAACUUGUCAAAGAUGACGAGUCAGAUAUCAAAGCACUUAAAGAAGGGUGCCCCACAAUGGUCGGAAGAAGCGACAAAGGUUGUGACAGACUUAAAGCAAAAGUGCCAGUCACUUCCACCAUUAAAGAUACCUGACAAAGGACAGCUCAUCUUACAGACAGACGCUAGUGACCAUUAUUGGGGAGCACUAUUGAUAGAGGAAUCCGAGGGAAACAGGAGAGUCAGUGGCUAUAAAUCUGGCCAGUUCAACGACGCUCAAAGCCACUACCCAUCCUCAAAGAAAGAAGUCUUAGCAGUCACCAAAGGGAUCAAGAAGUUUCAAUUCUUUCUCUCUCUAACCCCCUUUGUGAUUGAAACAGAUUACAAGUACCUCCUGGGAUUGAUCAAAAGAAAAGAAGGAGAAAUCCCAGAUCCACAACUAGCAAGGUGGUCCGAAUCUCUCUCGAGAUUUAAGUUCGAAGUCAGACACAUCAAAGGAGAAUCCAAUACUGUAGCGGAUUUCCUUCUAGACCAAUCACCAUGAUCACAAGAAGAAGCCUCCCGAGACGAUGGGAAGAAGGCAGCUCCAGUGCUCAUGAAAACAGAGCACACUUUCUCAAAGAUCUCAAUACUUUUAUUGCAUGGCUUCCUUCUGAAGUACAGGAAGACAUCUUUGAGAAGAUCAUCUCUCACAGGAGAGAUCCGGAAGAUCAGGCUCUGACAUGGCGGGUAUGGCAGCUCAUGGCCAUGCAAGAACACAAACCUGCCCAUAACAAGAAGUGCCAAAGAGCCUCCGAUCCGCAUCCAAACCCGGACCAGAUGCAUGAAACUAUCUUCAAGGUUGGUUGCACUUUUCACUAUGUGAUAGAUGAGAACUCCAAUUGGGGUCAUUAUGUCAUUUGCGACAUAACCCCUCAAGCUUACUAUAUCACAUGGUACUGGCUCAACAUAUACCCCGUGGCAAUACUGUUCGAACCAAACCUGAUCCAUACCAGCCGAAGAUACGGUAAAGGAAGAUGGUUCGAUCGAAUGUUCGCCCCCAUCUUUGAAGAUGUCCUCACAUUAAAGCUCAUCAACGGUUAUCACAUCACCCACUCUACAAUAGUGAUCGUGAAACUCACAGAUAUUUGGGGACGGUACAAAGAGCCUUUCAUACAGGUAGUCCAACAUGACCACUCCCAUGAAGAAAUCGAUUCCAUGUGGACUGGUUGCUGGAACGCUAGGCAGGCCUUAGCAGAGGUAUACGGGACUGUUCCCAUGUACAACACCCACAGUCCAGUAUCCCCACAAGUCUGCAGUACUCCAGACCUUUACUACAGAGAGGAGAUACGAAAUCUCAAACUACAUGGAGACGAAGACGAGGCAGCCGACAUGCAGCAUAAGUAUAAUGACUACCUUUCCCGACAUGGCAGGCCACAAGACAUCACCUAUCUGGAUACCCCAGAUAUUGACAGAUGGAGGAACGAACUUGAAGAUAUGGCCAACUGGCUAGACCUCCAAGAAUGGCCCCAGCCAGAACUAAACCCACAGCCAGACCCGAUUUGGUCCAAUAUUGGAGAAGACAUGGACGCCGCAUCUAAAGAACGAUGGAACCAUCGGUCAGGACGUAGCACGCCAACCAGUGGCAACUCUGGACUGUAGCGGAAGCUUAGUGGACCUUGCAGUGGAAGCAUUGGUGAUAAUAAUAUAGUGUAUUUGUAUUCGUAUGUAUUAUGUACCAUCCUUAGAGAUAAAGAUAAGAGUGUGAGUGUGACAUAAAGUAAAGGAGUGAGUUGUAAAGUAGAUUCCUUUGUGAUAAGGUUUAGUGUGAGUGUGAUAUAAAGUAAAGGAGUGAGUUGUAAAGUAAAUUCCUUUGUGAUAAGGUUUAAUAAUGUCUACAGUAUGUAAUAGUGGUUCCCUUGUGCCUAUAAAAGGGAACCCUUGGUUUGUUGAUAGGCAUCGAGUCUUGGAGUGCAAUAAUGUAUUGUAAAUCUCUCAUUCUUCUUAAUGAAAGUAACCUUCCUUUGUUUGCUCUAAAACAGAUUUUUUGAGCCUGCCAGAGCUACUCAUUAAAGAUAUCCCCGGAGGAAAGGCUCUUUGUACCGUCCCCAAAUAUCUGUGAGUUUCACGAUCACUAUUGUAGAGUGGGUGAUGUGAUAACCGUUGAUGAGCUUUAGUGUGAGGACAUCUUCAAAGAUGGGGGCGAACAUUCGAUCGAAUCAUCUUCCUUUACCGUAUCUUCGGCUGGUAUGGAUCAGGUUUGGUUCGAACAGUAUUGUCACGGGGUAUAUGUUGAGCCAGUACCAUGUGAUGUAGUAAGCUUGAGGGGUUAUGUCGCAAAUGACAUAAUGACCCCAAUUGGAGUUCUCAUCUAUCACAUAGUGAAAAGUGCAACCAACCUUGAAGAUAGUUUCAUGCAUCUGGUCCAGGUUUGGAUGCGGAUCGAAGGCUCUUUGGCACUUCUUGUUAUGGGCAGGUCUGUGUUCUUGCAUGGCCAUGAGCUGCCAUACCCGCCAUGUCAGAGUCUGAUCUUCCGGAUCUCUCUUGUGAGAGAUGAUCUUCUCAAAGAUGUCUUCCUGUACUUCAGAAGGAAGCCAUGCAAUAAAAGUAUUGAGAUCUUUGAGAAAGUGUGCUCUGUUUUCAUGAGCACUGGAGCUGCCUUCUUCCCAUCGUGUCGGGAGGCUUCUUCUUGUGAUCAUGGUGAUUGGUCUAGAAAGGAAAUCCGCUACAAUAUUGGAUUCUCCUUUGAUGUGUCUGACUUCGAACUUAAAUCUCGAGAGAGAUUCGGACCACCUUGCUAGUUGUGGAUCUGGGAUUUCUCCUUCUUUUCUUCUGAUCAAUCCCAGGAGGUACUUGUAAUCUGUUUCAAUCACAAAGGGGGUUAGAGAGAGAAAGAAUUGAAACUUCUUGAUCCCUUUGGUGACUGCUAAGACUUCUUUCUUUGAGGAUAGGUAGUGGCUUUGAGCGUCGUUGAACUGGCCAGAUUUAUAGCCACAGACUCUCCUGUUUCCCUCGGAUUCUUCUAUCAAUAGUGCUCCCCAAUAAUGGUCACUAGCAUCUGUCUGUAAGAUGAGCUGUCCUUUGUCAGGUAUCUUUAAUGGUGGAAGUGACUGGCACUUUUGCUUUAAGUCUGUCACAGCCUUUGUCGCUUCUUCCGACCAUUGUGGGGCACCCUUCUUUAAGUGCUUUGAUAUCUGACUCGUCAUCUUUGACAAGUUCUGCACAUGGUCUGCUGCAUAAUUGAUUAUCCCGAGGAAUUGUUGGAUUUGCUUUCUGGUUGACAGCUGGUCUGGGAACUGGGAUAUUUUUUCAGCAAUAUGUGGCUGAGGAAUGAUGAAUCCAUGUUUAAUGUGUAGUCCCAAAAAGUCUACCUCAUCAAGUCCUAUCUUCAUCUUUGGUUCUGACAAAGCCAACCCAUGUUUAUAGGUAAGAGCUUUGAAUUGAGACAGGUGUUCAGCAUGUUCUUCCUCACUGUUGCUGAAGAUAAGGGCAUCAUCGAUGUAGAUAAGGCAGAAUUCUGAAAUGGAUUUGUACACCUCAUCCAUUCUGUUUUGGAAUUCUGACAGUGCAUUCUUUAGGCCGAAAGGCAUCACGUUCCAUUCAUAAUGCCCAUGGGGGACCACAAAUGCUGUCUUGUGUCUGUCUUCUUCCUUGAUUCCAAUUUGCCAAAAGCCUAACUUCAUGUCAAACUUUGAGAACACCUUUGCUCCAGCAAUGCGUUUCAAAAGAUGCGUCCUCCGUGGAAUCGGGUACCUUAUGUCUUGCAAGCAAUAAUUUAGCUUUCGGUAGUCUAUCACCAAUCGCUUCUUUCUACGUAUUUGUUCUAAAUGCUUGUUGACAUAGAAUGCUGGGCUGGCCCAAUGAGACUUAGAGGGCCUGAUGAGCUUUAGAUCCAUAAGGGCCUGGAUCUCUGAUUUGCACAAUUCUUCGUCAUGGGGCAUGCCUGGAUGAGAGGCUGUCUGGUGAGGCAUGGUCCAUCCAUCUUUAUAUGGUAGAGACACAAAGUGUUUCUCUUUUAUAGGCACAAGGGAACCACUAUUACAUAAUGUAGACAUUAUUAAACCUUAUCACAAAGGAAUCCACUUUACAACUCACUCCUUUACUUUAUGUCACACUCACACUAAACCUUAUCACAAAGGAAUCUACUUUACAACUCACUCAUUUACUUUAUGUCACACUCACACUCUUAUCCUUAUCUCUAAGGAUGGUACAUAAUACAUACGAAUACAAAUACACUAUAUUAUUAUCACCAAUGCUUCCACUGCGGGGUCCACUAAGCUUCUGCUACAGUCCAGAGUUGCCACUGGUUGGUGUGCUACAUCCUGACCGAUGGUUCCAUCGUUCUUCAGAUGCGGCGUCCAUAUCUUCUCCACUCUGCCAUCACUAGCAAGAAAUCUGGUAAUAGGCCUGCCAGAGCUACUCAUAGAGAACAGAUGGGUUUGGACUUUAUAGGUCAUAGUGUGGUGGAUUGCCAAGGCAGAUUCAUCAGGUUUCAUGGUUAGACCAUUGACCUGAAUUAAUACCUUAAUGGCAUCUGUGAGGGAUGGCUUGUGUAUGUCAAGGGUAAAAUUUGGCUCAACUUGGAGAACGACAUGGCCUUGGUUGAGUCCUGCUUCAACAGCAGUAAUUAAAGCCUUUUCAAAAGUUUGCCAUUUGGUGUCGAGAAUGGCAAUAAAACAUGUAAUAUCUUUUCCAGCUAGGAAUAAGGGUUGUAUCCCUAUCUGGAUUGCUCCAAGGUGUAGUCCCUUGUAUCCCUGAAGUUUAUACCUUGUAAUCUCGCUAGAAGAGAUUAUGGGAAGGUAUGUUUCUUUUGAGCUUGAGGAGAUUGACUGGACAGUGAUUUCAGAGGAUUUGUAGAUGGUUUUUAGCUUAGGUUGUCUUAUGGGGAUUAUGGCUCUUAGGUGGUUAAGAGUAGGGCUAAUAUGGUAGUAUCUGUAAGGAUCUAACGGAUCAAGUCUGAAGGACUGAACCGCUCUCUCACUAUUUUCAUCCUCUUGGAUUUCAUAAUGAAAGUUUACAGAGGGUGAACUAUCAGUUGGUACUCUGAUGGCCGAAGGUAUAAUCAAGUAACAGAUCCACAUAAAAAUCAAACAACAAACUGAAUCGACAUGUAAUUGACAAAAUUAAUGGCAUAAUCAAACUGCCAUUAUCAGUUGAACUUAAUUUUUAUAUAUACUUGCAUAUUUGGCUCCUCGACAAUACGCGCAUUAAAGUCAGUAAAUAAAUAGAACAGAAUAAACAAGAAUAUUUCAUAUCAUAAAAUAUCUGAAGAUAUUUAUGAAUAAAAAUAUCAGCACUCCUACUGAACAGCAUCACAGUUGAAGCUAAUAUUACUCUUUUAGAAAACAAAAAAAAGAAAAGAAAUGAAUUUGAGAUUAAAAUAUUAUAUAGUUAACUUAACGGUGAUACGUCGAUUCAGAUCAGCAUAAUUCAUCGUUCCCUGCGGUCGUAAAUCAGACGCGAGACUUCAUUUUCAUUACAUGUUAACCAAAAAAAAAAAAACGACAAAGGAUAUUGCGUUUUACCAGAGAAUUGAAAGAAGAAGAAGAAGAAGAAGGCUUCCGUUGAUUGGAUCUGAAGGUUUGCAAAGGCAAAGCUGAGGAUCUGAAAAAUUAACAAAAAAUAAAAAUAAAAAAAUGAAAACUAAUUACGGAGAAUUAAUAAAAAUAAAAAUAAAAAUAACAAUAUUAAAAAAAAAGCGUGAUGGGGACAAAAGUACAGCAGUUCACAUGCAUAACUCUCUCUCUCUCUGACCCAAGGUAACAAGCCAUGAAUGCUAAACUUACUCUGGGACACAGUAACCAUAUGUUCCGAUUACUCUAGUUGAAACAUGUGUAUUAUCACCGACAGGUCCGAGUUUGGCAAGCCCAAAAUCAGAGAAUUUUGGAUUGAAGUCAUUAUCCAGAAAAAUAUUUGCAGACUUCAAAUCCCGUAAAUGACAAAAGGAUUGGCCUUGCAAUGUAGAUACUCAAGGCCCUGAGCAGCACUGACUGUAAUUUUCAUGUGAGUGUUCCAACUCAUUAGCUCUUGAUCAGGUUGAAUGCAAGUAGUUAAUUAAAGUAACAGGCGAAGGUUGGGCUCUUCCUUUGCAGCUGACUCAACAACCUCAGAAGUUGGUUUGGCUUGGACUUCGACUUCGACUUGGAUUACUUUGAUGUGGAUUGAGUUUGGGGAUGAGUGGUAGCCGGAGGAGAGACUAAGGGAAGUUGAGAGAGAGAGCGAUGGAUUUCUAGUUGUCUGUUCUGCUGUUUAGAGUUAUGCGUUUUUUUUAAUCUUUUUAAUAAUUAAAAAAUUUUAGAAGAAAUGCAUACACAGAGAGUGAUGCCUAUGAACUGCUCUACUUUUUUGUCAUUUAAAUGCUUUUUCUUUUUUAAUUUUUAAUAAUACUAAAUGAUUAGAGCACUGAGAGAAGGAGAGAGGUGAAACGGCAAUACAAGCUGUCGUUUCUCUCACUUUUCUCUCAGUGUUCUAGACAACCAGCAGCUCUCAAGAGAGAGAGUGAUAGAGAAAAAAAAUUUAUAUGCAGUUUUCUUUACUUUUGUAAUAAUUUUAUAGUUAUUACUGCAAAGAGAAGACAACCACCGAAGGGCAAUAAUUUUACCAUUAUUAUUAAACUAUGCUUAGAAGAGAUUUGCUCCCAUGAAAAAGACAAAAAGGAGGAAAAAGGAAAGCAUAUUUUCUAUUUUGGGAAAAAGAAUUUUGUACAAACACGAAAGUUAGUGUUUUUUUUGUUUUUUUUUAUUUUAUUUUUAAAGGGGUAGAAAAAUACUAAAAUUUGUGGUUAAAAUUUAAAUGGAGUGAUAAUCUGUGAUCAGUAAUUGAAGCCAAUAAAGAAUAAUUAGCAACAAGAAGUGGGCUUGGUUUGGGAUUAAGUAAUAAUUCUUUUUCAAAAUAAAUUCAAAUAAAUGUAAUAACCCAAUUAUCAUGUAGGGAAAGACAUGAAAAUGAGGUUCAAAAAAUGGGGCUAUAAUAAUGCGAGGUCAAUAACUCUCUAAAAUUAUCGUCAUGAUAUAUUAUCAAUUAGCCAAAUGUAGAGCGCAGCAUGCAUGUGACUCUUAUUAGAGUUUUUUUUUUAAUUAGUCCCAUAAUUAACUGAGAGAUUCCGUGGUCCUGCUUUAAUUUAUUAUUGCUUGGGAAAAUCUAUUAAUUUUAUGUAAUUAUUGGAGUGACAUGCUAUUACCGGAUUACGGCUGUUUCCAAAAAUAUUGGAGCAUUGUUUUCUCCACUUUUUUGAACUUUGCAAUCUAAGGAAAAUAAGAGGACCACAUUUUAUUAUUAUACGAGAAGAAUCGCCUCGAGAGAGAAAAACAAAAGAGAAUGUCUUUUGACAUUUUGAAAUUAAACAAAAGAAAAAAAAAGUUUAAAUAAUGAGAUAUAAAGAAUUAAAUUUAAUUUAAAUCAGCCACAAUUAAUAAAAUGAGUAUUAAGUACCAAAUUUUGAGUCUAAAAACUAAAUAAUUACACUACUUAAGGCAAUCAAAUAAGCCUCUUUUGCUAGUAAAUACCAACAAUCCUUAAGAGUAAUAGUUAAUAGUUAGCCAUGAUUACUAAAAAAAAGAGUAAAUUGGUAAAUAAAAAGUAUUUUCUAAACAUUCAGCCCACUACAUUCAUAAUAAAAGAUGACAAAAUUUUUUUGGUUUGGUUUGGUCAUUCAUAAUAAAAAAUGAGAAAAUCUUUAAAAAUUAAUCAAUAUUUCAAAAAAAUACUGAGAAUUCAGAAAUCAAUACCAAUUUUUUUGGAUGAUUUGGUUUGGUAAUUUAUUAUCUCUAAGAACUUAAAAAUUGGAAGUUUAGAUUUUGGCCCCCUUGAAUUUUCCACUGAGCUCCGCCCCCGCCGAUUACUAUCAAAAGCUGAAGAAUCUUCUAACAGUUUCCCUAGAGAAGAGAGACAGCAAGGUACCAUUAGGCCAUUACAUCAAUGUGCCUUGCUUGUUAAUGGUAGAGCUUUGUGACCCUUCCUGUUUUGUCCAUCUAUUGAACUUUUACGUGUGACUGCACAUGCAAAAUAAAGGCAAAACUCUUCUCUUCUCUGUUCACCUUGCAUAAUGUGUUUAAAAUAGUUAUCUGGUAGUCUUGCACAUUACCCUCAUCAUCAUGUGACAAGAUAGUUUAUCAUAAUAUAAUGUGAACUUGUAACAUAAACUCAAUUUUAAUAAAACACUUAAAAUAUCCGUGAGAGGUCAAUGUUCUUUGAAGGUUUUUUUAUCUUAGGAAAGAUUUUGUUUGUACGUUUAUAUAUAGUAAGUUUUCAAUAGGAAUCUCUAACCAGAUUAAAGAUACAGAUGAACUAAAAUAUUAAAAAUAUAAAUUUCAAUGAAUUAGAGUAUGUAUUUUUUAUAUUUUAACUUGUCUUUAAUUUCACUAUGCUAAAGGAUCCUGAUUGAAAAAUUAUUAUUAUUAUUAUUAUUGUUGUUGUUGUUAUACACACACACGCACAAGGGUUGGACAAGGGUUCAUUCCUCCUCUGUUUGUGUGUGUGUCUCUCUCUCUUAAAUUGGAGGGCUUAUUAAAAAUUUACUAUUUAUUCCAUCACAUUUAAUGUUUUAAAUACUCAAAUUCUUUUCUUUUCUUUUAUAUUAUUUAUUUUAAAUUCUAGAGCUCAUUGUAGUCACAUUUGUGAAAGUAUACUUUUUCUAAUUAAUCUCCACAAAAUAUCUAAAGAAACAAAAUUAUAUGGCUACGAGGAUUUGAACCAAGUCUUCAAAAUUGGUAAAUAGCAUUCUUACCAUUAAAUUACAAGUAUUUUAUUACAUAAAAAAAUGUGCACAAAUUUUUUUAUUUAAUGUUUUCAAAAGGGGUCGUUUGGGACACAUUCAAAAUAAUAAUAAUAAUAAUAAUAAUAAUGGCCCAGGAUUUAUACACCUUAAUUUGCCGCGCAGAUUUUUCAUCAAUUGUUGUUUUCAUUUUUUUUUUCCCUAAAUCUCACAUUCUUGAAAAUGAAGGAGCAAAACUCACACAACAUUGUAGAUGAAGAUGAAGAUAAGGUAUAAAUUAAAUGUAGCAAAUUAUGUUUAAUUCUUGGUUUAUGGUUAUUGUUGACUCUGUAUAUAUGAAAUAUUUACUAGUACAUUAGUAAACAAAAAGAUAAUCCUAAGAUGAUCCUCUCAUGGCUAUUGAGAGCGAGUAAAAUCAGGUGAUUCAAUUUCUCAAUCUUUCUCGACCUUGAAUCCUACUUAUAAAUGCUCAAAAUUUAAGGGACCUAAUUACUGAAACUGUUCACUGACUCUUAUUUAUUUGUUAUUUUUUUUAUCUCUUUUAGUUUUUUCGGAGAAGCUACAAGGAAAAUAAUAGUAUACAAAUCAAACUAAAAUGGAUAUUUGAAUCAUCCUUCUACUAAAGUUAGUGAGUACUGGUUUGUUAUGUAAUGAGAAAUAAAGUUAGUGAAACUAGCAAUCAAUGAAUGAAUACUGAACAUUUGAGAGUAAAAAAUGAAUUAAAAAAUGUGGAAUUAUUUUUGUUUAUCUUUGAAAUUUUUAUUUUAAAUUUUUACGAUCGUUUAUAUAUUUUGAAAUAUUGUAAUAACAUUUCCUACAUAUAUGAAUAAUCAAACGAAUUAGUACCUGGUGUGGGUAAACUUGCAUGUUGUUACUAAUUGGGAUAAUGUCAAUAUGGCUGUUCAUUCUGGUAAAUUCAAUUACCUAUAAUAAUAGGGGAUUGUCUGCCUUCUUUGCCGGCAUGAAAUUAGAAGAUUACCUCAUAGACAAAAUAUUGAGCUGGCAAUUAUUUAACUUGUAUGCAACAGACUUGAAUAUUCUAUCUAUUUGUAAGUAAAUCACAAGAUCAGCUAGCUAGCUAGGUUUCAGGUGGUGAUAAGAAUAUGAUUUAGAUGUUCUGGUUAAAGUUUGUAAACCAUUUACGUCAACAGAUUUUUAGCUAGGCUACUGAGUAAACAAAAUCACAAUAAGCUAAAGUAAUUCAAUUGAAUCCUUUAUUCUUAUCCUCCUAUGAACUCAAAAAGAGAGUAAGUGAUAGGAUGAAUGAACCAUAACUUGUCAAUAAUAAAAAUACAUACAGGGGCGAAGCUAUCAAGAAGGCUAACUCGGGCUGUAGCCCGGGUUAGUUUCUUGAAAAAAAAAAUGAAUUAAUUAUAAAUUUAUUUUUAAAAAAAACUUAUAAUAAAAUAUAAAAAUAUAACGAAUAAUUAUAGUUAAUAUCUAUUUUCUCUAAAUCGAAAAACUCACCCAAAUCUCUAACUAAUUGAUCUAAUUAUCCAAAGUCUAAAUUUCCCAAAACUCAACUGUUCAAGUCAUCAAGUUGCCACCUCAUGAUUGACGGUCAGCCUCUGCUGCACCCGUAUGCUCAUACUGUUUUUGAAUUAGUUAUUAGCUUAUACUUUUGUCAAUUUUUUUGAUAAAAUAAUUAAUAAUUCUCUAAUAUAUUAUUAUCGCACACAAUAUAAUUCAGAUACGAUACUAUAUGAAUUUUUUUUGAAGAAAAUUUCAUCGAUAGUGUUUUUUUUAUUUACAUUGUACUUUUAUAGUUUUAUUAUUAGUUUUUUGCUUGUCUAGUGUAUUUUAAUAAUUUAAUUUGUAUAUAGCUUUUUUUUGAGAAGUAAUUGAAUUUAAAAAAAAUCUAGCCCACCCCAAAAAAUAGUGCUAGCUUCGCCACUGAAUACAUAUUGCAUGGUAACCUUAUUCCCUAUUGAUAAGAAUGAAGUAAUAUUGAUAAAAUAUUCAAAACAAUCGGUUUGAUUGUCUCUAUCUUAGUUAGUGAUUAAGAAAAAUUGAUUGUUAAUCAACAUAAAAAUUGACUGAGUCAAUCUUGGUAAAUCUAUCAUUAUUCUCAAAUUAUAUUAAUUAUAUUAUUUUCCUUUUCAUAUUUCAAAUACUUGUAUAAAUUGAAUUUUUGUGCUCAUGAAUUAACAAGAAUGAAAUAUAUAUUGUUCUUGAAAAGUUCUCACUUAUAGUAAUAUGGUGGAUUCUGUGUACAAAAGGAAGGAGUUAUACUUGUAGCACUAUUUUGCCCAUUAGAAGGUGCAGUGGUAGCAAUCCUCAAAAUCUUUUUUUUUGUUUUCUAAUAACAUUUGAUAUUAUAAUUUCUAUAAUUUUUUACAACCACCAAGUUACUUAUUACAGCAUAGUACAAGGAGGGAUAUCUGUGUGCUUGUUAUUGCUCUAUUAUGUUUGUUUACCUAAACAAAGAAACAAUACUCAAACUUCAAACUCAACUGCAUACUUAGCUUAGGUAAAUUAAUCAAGUCAUGAUGAUUCUUUUCAGCGAAGAAGAUGUAUCAAUCAAGACUUAGAUAUUUCGUAUCAAGCAUAAAUUAUUUUUUAAUUUUAGUUCUAAGAUAUGCUACAUUGGUCCUAUUUAGUUGUUUUUUAUACACAAAUAAAACGAUAAUAAGUUGAUAAUAUAUAACAAUGUCUUAGAUACUAAGUAGCCAUGAUUUUUUUUUUUUAUAACUCUAUAGUGGGCACCCAUUAAAAUGUUGAUUGUUGUACACUCUUUGCUGCUAUAGUAAAUUUGCAGUUAAAAGAUAGAUUAUUUUUUUUUAAUAAAGGAGAUUCUUAUUAUUAUAGGAUACAAUUCAAAGGAAAUUAAAACAAAUUAAAUUUUGUGAAAUUUUUUUUUCUUACAAGACCUUGACCAAUACCAAUAGCAAGGAUUAAAAAUUGAUAUUUAAAUUUGUUAAUAGAGUAAAUUAAAGUAUUUAAACAUUAUCAUUACCACGCGUACACAUGCCAUGUCGGCACUUAGCAAGGUAUGUGAUCACGUCGGAGACCGUUUUUCUUUUUCUUUUUCUUUUUCUGGAGAGAAUGUCAGGGUCAUCAAAUAAAUGUGAUUUCACAAUAAUUUACUUAUUGCAUGCCAAAAAGCAAAUUAAAGUACUAAUACAUUUUUUUUUGGUGAUAAGCAAGUACUAAUAAUUGAUUGAUAAUAUAUAAUGGGAUUGAUAAAAAAGUCUGGACUGGGGCUCGGCUUGCAUCAUAAAGAUACAGACAUUGGUAAAAAAAUUUAAAGAGUUAGAACUAUUGACACCCCUAUGUAAUCUUUAUAAAACUCUUCUCCUAUUUUAAUUAUAUUAAACGACAAAAAAAAUCUAGUUAUACCAUUAUAUUUCUCUUUUCAACUCUUUACACCAUACAACUACAUCAAAGUCUUUUACAAUUUUGAUUUCCUCACAAACAACUUUUUCUUGAGAAAUUUACAAAUUUAUUUUUAAUUUAGAAAAAUAAAUAAUUUUAAAAAAUAAAUAAUAGUUAUUUGAGUCCACUUUAAUUUACAAAACUUUCUAAACUUUCUAAUAAUAAGUUUUCUAAACUUAUUUUUAAUUUACAAAACUUUCUAAACUUAUUUUUAAUUUUAAAAAAUAAAUAAUGGUUAUUUGAGUCCACUUUAAUUCUACUUAAUUCGUACAUGUAUUUGAUUUUUUUUUUAGUAAAAUAUGUAUGAUUUAAUAAUUUAAAAAUUUAUAAAAACAAUAUUUGUAAUUAAAGUUAUUUGGAAAAAACUGAAUUGUUUUUCUUUUUAAAUAAAAAAAUUAAAAAAAAAAUAGAAAAUGAUAUUUUGGGAAUUAAAGUAGGUUUUGGUAUAAAAGGGGUUUGAAAAGAAAAUUACAGGGUGCUAAUAGUCCCACUCAAUUUUAAAAUCGGCUGUAAAUAAGCCUAAUUAAGGGUUCGUAGAAAAAUUCUGAAUUUGGCCCAAACUUUAUGAUUUAUAAAUAAAAAAAAUUAAUUUAUAAUUUAUAUAGUUUAUAACCAUUAUUUAAGAUUGAUUAUAUUAUAUUGCUAGUACUUUGUGUACUGUACUAUUACUUUUUUAGGAUUAGAUAAUCAUUUUUAAUUUAAGUUUUUUUUUUUACUUUUAACUUUAUUAAAUAUUCGUUUAAAAAAUUAAUGAAAAUUUGGGUCAGUCCGUCCAAGUUUGGAGGGCUUUUAGAAGGUCUAAACCUGUUAUCAAUAACAUUUGCUUGAGUUUGAACUUAAGAAAAUGCAGCUCAAGGUCGCAAUUUAUCAUCCCAAAUAUUUAAAGUUAAAAAACGAGGUGAUGUCUUUCCGAGGCCACCUAAUCGCCACAAUUAAAUUGCCUUCUUAGUACUGCCUUCAUUACCUGUUUACCACCAUGUUCGUUUUGGAAUCACUUCACCACUUUGUCUCCACCCAGGUGGUGUUGAUUUUAUGAAUUGAUGUAUAAAUAUAUGCAUAGGGGCGUUUUUUCGUGUUCCUAAAAUACCUUAUAAUACAUGAUACAUCAAAUUCUAAAAUUAUUUCAAUAGAGUAAUUUUAAAAUAAUUUUCUUAUGUUUUGUUAGAACCUCUAUAAAUUAAUAUUCGAUAAAUUAAUAAUCUCUAUUAUAUAAUAAGUUAUUACCGUCUUGUCUUGGGCCAAUGGACUAAAUCAAUAAUUACGAUAAAUUAAUAACAUAAUAUUUUUCUUAAAAAAUCUUAUAAAACUUUGUGGUCUUGUUUAAAUCAUAAAUUAAUAAUUUGCUAAAAUUACAAAUGUAGUUGACUAUAAUAUAUUAAUUAAUAAAAUAUGACUCUAUUGUUACUUGCUUAUAUAAAAUAUGACUUUAUUGUUACUUGUUUUUUUUCCUAAAAUUUAAAUUUAGUUAGAUCUCAUCUCUUAUUUUUCUUAUUGUAUCUAGAAGUUCUAAGAUUGACAUCUCGAAUUGUAAAUUUAUAAUAAGAAAUGAAGUGUUAUCGAUGUAUGUUUAUUGAUUGGUAAAAAACUCUAUAAAUUAAUAAAUUAUUAAUUUAUCGAUUAAUUGAUAAAUUACUAAUUCAUUGAUUAUUUAAUUUCUCUUUUAAUUAAUAGAUUUUAAAUGGUCUUAGUCCUAUUAAUUUAUAGACAUUCUACUAAUAUAUAUCAUUCUAGCCUGCAUGUUAAAUUUUAAAUUUGUUUAUAGGGAAACGUCGCCGAUGAUUAAGGCAAGUUCCGAAGUAUUCAAAACCUUUUAAAUUUAUCAACCAUCCACCCAAAAAUUUGCAUUAUAUAUCAAUUUUUAAUAUUGCCAUUUUAUGUGUGUGCGUGUGUGUGCGUGCACAUGUGUGAAACAACAUCAUAUUAAAUGACUAAAUUAUCCUUAUUACAUAAUAAAAUUUAAAGGUAGUUAAUGACAUAAUGAAAAUUUUAUACAUUCUACAAACUUUGGGUGGAUUGUUGAUAAUUUAAAAAAUAUUUGUAUAUUUUCAAACUUUCAUUAAAUGUUAGCGAGAAAAUUAAUAAUUCCUUUAACAAUAGUUAUUGUCCAAAUAUCCACCGACUACCUAACACUUCGUAUUUUUCAAAAAUACACCAAAACUUUUUUCUUUUGCAGUUUUUUAUCUAAAGUCUACAAAAUGUAUCAAUUUUAUACUUUGCUAUUAGUAUUGUUAGAGGAUUUAAUAGAAUAUUGAUAAAUAAUUAUUUUGUCCUUAAUGUAAAAAAAAAAAAAAAAAAAAACCUAUUGGUUGUUAUUUUGGAUAAUUUUGGAAUGUGUUGUUAUUUUGAAUUGGUAGGAAUAAAUUGUAAACUUUAAGUUCCCUAUAACGAGUUUUAUGUCGUUAUUUUUUUAUUGGUAGGAACACACUAUAAUAUUUGAAGUUUCCUGUAACUGGUUUUAUAGUUAUUUUGACUAUAUUUUGAAUAAUUAUGAUUGUAUUUAUUGGUGAUUUAUUGUUGUUGAAGAUUUGUCAUUGUUGUAAAAAAUAUGUUAUAUAGGAUAAAUUAUAUGAACAUGGAUUCUUGAUUUAUGUUGUAAGUGAGGUAUAAAUUAGUAGGCUUGAUGAGUUAGUCGUUAUUGGUCUCAAUAGCUACAAAAUGAAAUUUGUUUUUUAGUCAUUUAGCAAGAAUUAAAUACGUUUUUACAUUUAGAAGUAAAAUAGUUAUUUUAUCAUUAUUUUGUUAAAUCCUCUAACAGUGUUAAUAAAAAAGUAGAAAAGUGUAUUGUAAACUUUAAGUAGAUAGCUGCAGAACAAAAAAUAUUUAGUAAUUUUUUUAUAAAAUGUGAAACAUUAGAUGGUCGAUAGAUAUUUACCCAUAGUUAUUUGAUAAAUGAACCUUAUGUAAUACCAAACAUUUCGCUAUCUUUGUAGCCGUGCACACACACACACAUAUAUUAUUUCUAAUAUUCUUUUAUUAGUACCUAUCUCUUUAGAUUAAAAAAAAAUUCUCUUUCAAUUUUGAUUAUUUAUCCAUUAUAGUAUCGUAUUAGAUAUUAUAUUUGACUGUUAUUAUUAUAAAUUGCCUUAAAAAUAACUCAUUAUUAUAUUAUUCAUAAUAAUGAUCAUGCAGGUAAUAUUUUAAACAUUAUACAAAUGUCUUAGUUUUUUGUAUGAUAAUGAUAGAAGUAAUGCUUUAUGUAUUAAGAAUUAUAUAAACUUGUGUAAUUUAUGGUUAUUCAGUCAUUAAUUUAAGGAUAAAACUGUAACUCUAAAUAAAAACUUGGGGAAAAUAUCAAAUAUCACCAUUUGGCAACUAAAAGGAAAAAAGACUUUUUACCCUUACGGUUUUGAUGCAAAUACUUAUUUCAUCCUUAUUUUUUAAAAAAUAAUUCAUUUCAAUCCUACCACAAUAGUCUAAAACACUUUCCUGCGAACUUACAAUUAGUUUAUUAUAUAAUUUGUUAAUGACAAAAUAAGAUUUUCAAUUAAAUAGAUGCAAAUCAUUUUAAAAUAAAAAUUUUAAAAAUAAUAAAAUAACAUUUAACUAUUUGCAUAAAUUUAAAAUUUAAGAAUAAUUUAAUGAAAUAAAGAUAGCACUAAAGAAUAUGCUCUAUAUAUGUAGACUAGGAAAUAGAACCACGCUUCACGCGGCUUUGAAAAAAUAAUUUAGUAUUAUCAUUUUUUCUUACUUUAUACUUGAUAAAAUUGAUAAAAAAAUAUGAAUUAUUUUUUUUAAGAUGAGGAGGGUUAUAAAAUUAAUGUUAUUUAUGAAAGUUAAUUAUUUAUUUGUUAAUUUUAAAUAUAUAUAUAUAUAUAUAUAUAUAUAUAUAUAUAUAUAUAUAUAUAUAUAUAUAUAUAUAUUAAUGUGUAUAGUUAAGUGUACGGAUCUUAUACCUAUUGUAGUUGUUGAUAAGUUCCAAAUUAUAUUCAACUUGCUAAUCUGUUAGAACUUUUAUAUCUUUUUUUUCCAACCAGCUCCAACGAUCUCAAUAUCACCCACACCACAUAAACUUCCGACAACAUUUGUAAUAUUAUGGAAAAUAACAUAAACAUGUUAAAACAUAAGGAUCAAUAAUUUCUAAUAUACACUUAAAGAUUAACAAACAUUAAUAAUUAAAAAAAUAUAUCAGAGGAUUGUGUUAUCAUUCACACGUAUAUCAACCAAUAAAAGUUAGAAAUGUUGAAUGCAGUAGAAGUAUCCAAUGCGGUCGUCGGAAACCGGGUGCUUUAAACAAUAAAUAAAUAAAUAAAGCUAUUAGCCAGCAACACAAAUAAAGAAGAAACGCAAGAUAAAGAAUAAAAUGAGAGAAUAUAUUAUAGAGUGAUUUUAUUCAUUCCAAUUGUGUGUGUACAAAACAAAAAGAUGAGCUCUCCUUUUAUAGUUACAUAAUCACUCCAUGAAAUUAAUAAAAAAUUAUGGAUCAUAAUUCCUUGUGAGAUAGUGGGAGUUAUAGGGAAGAUAAAAGUUGUUAAUUGGAGAUAGUGGGGAGACUAAGAGAUAUAUGUUAUGAAUAUCUACAUUUAUUUUAAUAAAUUUAUAACACUCCCCCUUGGAUGUUCAUUGCAAAGAAUAUGCCUCAUUAAAACCUUUACAUAAUUGUUAUUGUAUAAUAACAAUCAAAUUAAUUAUGAGAAGAUGAAAAGAUAAAUCUGAAAAAAAAUUUCUCUAUUUAUUAGGUAAUAAAAAAUAUAUAAAGAUGAGAAAUAGUGAUGCCACAUCACCUCUUAUAAUCCCAGCUUUAUAUAUAUACCUAAUAACCAACAAACGGGAAGUGUUUUUCCUUGUGCGGAUCCUAUUUCAAUGGGAACUUGAUGAGUCGAUCCGCCUACACAUCUUGCUUUUACUGCUAUAUCGGGAGUUACUCCACGUAUUGCUUGACGUAAAACAGACAGUGGAUUUUUUUCUGUCUUUUGUUGAAUCUUUUUCAAGGCUCAAUAGAUAAUUUGAUAAGCCAAUGAUUUUUUUCUCAUAAUUCCUUGUGAGAUAGUGGAAGUUAUAGGAAGCUAAAGGUUACUAAUUGGAGAUAGUGAGGAGACUAAGAGAUAUAUGUUAUGAACAUCCACAUUUAUUUUAAUAAAUUUAUAACACUCCCCCUUGGAUGUUCAUUGCAAAGAAUAUGCUUCAUUAAAACCUUUACAUAAUUGUUAUUGUAUAAUAACAAUCAAAUUAAUUAUGAGAAGAUGAAAAGAUAAAUCUAAAAGAAAAUUUCUCUAUUUAUUAGGUAAUAGAAAAUGUACAAAGAUGAGAAAUAGUGAUGCCACAUCACCUCUUGUAGUCCCAGUUUUAUAUAUAUAUAUAUUGUUGAAUUUAAAUAGAAAGAGGAAAAGAUGUAAUCAUUUAUAAUCUAAUAAUUAUUUUUUUUAAUUUCAACCAAUUUAUUAGAUAAUAGAGAAUAUGAGAAGAUGAGAAAUGAUGAUGCCACAUCACCUCUUGUAGUCCCAACUAUAUAUAUAUAUAUAUAUAUAUAUAUAUAUAUAUAUAUAUAUAUAUAUAGAUAUGUUUGUCUGUGUUUUCAUUAAAUUUUGUAAUGAAGUCUACUAAAUUUUUUUAAUAGAUAUGUAUAUGUAAUAACAAAAACAACAAUAAUAAUUUUUUUUCCAAUUAAGGGUUAAUGACCAUAUUAAAGUCAAGAAUAAAUUAAAAGAUAAAAUAAUACACUCUAAUGCAGAGUAUUUUAUUCUGCAGUAGUAUAUUAAAUUUUUAUUUUUAUGCCUUAUCGUGUGUUUUUUUAAGUAAGUAUAAGAGUCUGUAUUUAUUUUUAAUAAAAUAAUAGUACUAUUUAUUUAUUUAUUUUUAACCAUAUUAAAAUUAAAGACAAGCAAAAAGAUAAAAAGAAAAAGAAAAACUCACUCUAGUGCCCAUAAAAUUUAUAUUUUUUAUUUUUUCCUAAAUAUAUAUCUACAUAGUAUUUAGUAUUAUUAUUGUUAAUUUAUUAAUUAUCCUUAAACUUUAAAUUUAUAUAGAAAAUCACAUGUUAUUUUAUUAUAUUUGAUAAUCUUACUUUAAAAUAGUUUGUAUCUCCUUAACUAAAAAUUUUAUUUUUUCUCAAUGAAUUAUGUAAUAAAUUGAUGAUAAAUUAAUUUAACGGUAUUUUAAGUUAUUGUUUGAAAAAUAAGAUAAAAUCAGUUAUUAUUUAAACAAUAAAGAUGAAAUGGACGGACGAGGGAUAAAAGAAUUUUUUCCUGCCGAAAACUUAAAGCAGAGGAAAAAUAAUAAUAAUAAUAAAGGUCACAAUCCAUUUACACACGUGUACUUUUCUUGAAUAGGCAGUUGUAAACUUUUAGUCACUGUUCAGUGACUUUAUCUUCCCAUUAUAAUUUUAUUUUAUUUCUUAAUUUUUUCCUUCUAUUAGUUCGUCAAAGUUGUACGGACGGAUAUUCCGUUGUAACGAGACUCUGUAUUUUUUCUGGGCAACAAAAAAGAAAAUACUAUCGGAUCUGAGAUGGGUUUUGUUUACUAGAUUUUAUGUGAUCAUUUUUUGCAUGUUACCAAUAUUCUUUGGACAAAAAUAAAUUUAAUCGACUAAGAAUAUAGUUUUUUUUUUUUUUAACUUUAAUGCUCCAAAUUUUUACACUAUGAGGAAGAAGCUCGAUACACGUUUUCCAGCUGUAAGUCUUCUCUUUCUCUCUCUUUUAUUUAAUUAUUCUAGCUUAGUAGCUUAAUUUACUGAUUGAUUGGUUGAUAAUUAGGAUUUCUUGUUUUUUUUGCCCUAAAAGUUAGUUUAUAUAUAUUUUUAAUUUUAUUUUUUGAUAUUUGUGGGAAUAUUUGAUCUGGGUCGGCUUUUCCUCGUAAUUUGAAAUUGGUUUCUUUGCUUGAAUCGAUAUUUACUAGAACUUAGUUGUGGGUUCUCAGUUUUAGGGAUUUACGGGGCAUGGGUGAUGUUUUGACCUAAUUUUGGAUUCUACUGAUUGAUUAUGAUGGUGGUGUGUUGUAAAAAUUUUUUUAUGGGAGGCUCAGUUUCGGGUGACUUAUGUUACAAAAUGACCUGGGUUUUAUCUUGUUUUUUGUUUUAGAUACUUGCAUCGUAGGAUUGUGGCUUCUAAUGAAAUAAAGUUGCUUUUUAUUUUAUGUCUAGGGUAUUAAUGUGGAUCUUUGGUUACAUUUGCACUUCGCCUGUUCAUGAUUGUGUAGGUUAAAAGUCAAUUGAGUGUUACAUAGUUUUUUGGGGAAUUUUUAUGUUGCUUGUGUGUUUGGGGGUCUAUUUAGUGGUUUAGUUCUGAAGCCGGUAGGUGUCACAUUCUUAGGGAUGUCAUGGGGUUUUUAAUUUGCUUUUGUUUCGUGGAAGAUAUCGGUUUUAUCCCAUAACUAUGAUUAACAUGAAAUUAUAUUGGACGUAUGGUUUCCUUGUUGUUAGAGCCUUUUUGCAUACUUGUUUUUGGAGAUGAGAAUAUCUGUAUUUCUCCGUUAGUGCAUCUCUGUUGCCACUCUCUUGUUUAAGGAUAGAAUGACAGAAUUAUGUUAUUAGAGUUCUAUUUUAUGUCAUCAACAUGUACCUUGACUUGGCUUUUUGGUAACAUUUGAUCUGAGGACUUUAGCCUGUUAUGCAUGUAUGGUUCCCCUCCUUUCUACUUUAUAUUUUGCAUGGUGCAUCGUGCCUUAAUUUUCUAUAGAUAGGUCAAUGUUUUCAUCAAACCUUUUGCCUUAUCUUUCUAUAAAUAGGUCAACGUUUACGUCAAACUUUCCACCUGCUUGAGUAGCCUGUAGCUUGAUUAAAUUGAAAAAUUUUGUAUAGCAGAAAUAUUGAAACUUUAUUGCUGCUUUUAAUCUCUGUUUUAUGCUUGGAAUAGGUUGAUCAUUUUAUGAGGUUUGAAGUGGGUUGGAAGUUUCUUGUCAUAUGACUCUAGCCUUGUUGGCUGAGUUGGGAUGUUGCUUUGUAAUAGAAAUCAUUGUGGGAGUCUAUGCAUUUGUGUUAGACAUAGACAUGGCACCUGGGUCUUGUGUCAAUAUUUUGUUAACAUACUUUAUCCUAUUCUAUUUCAGGGCUUUUGUUGUAAGGGAUCAUAUUUAUUUCUUUCAUUUCAUCUACCCUCAUUAAGUUAUUGAGGCUUUUGAGAUUGAGUUAGCACUGACUUUAUAUCAAAUCUGAGACUUAUCAAGAAAUGAUCGAAUCAGGUCUCUACUGAAGAGUUAAAUAUUUGAUAAUGGUCGGUGAUAACAUAGUCAUCUUGAGAAUAUUUGCAAAGCAUAUGGUAUUGACUAGAUGGCAUUGGUCAGUAUGUAGCAAGUUUUGAACUCAGUCUCCAGUGUUGUGCUUGGAGGCUUCAGUUACCAAAUUAGUUCAUGUCAAUUAGAUGUUGAGCUGGAGAUAAUUUUAAUUGAAAACAAUUUUUUGCUAGUAGGCUUUCUGGAAUACAUGUAGAGGCUUGAGUUUCUAGGUUUUGUUUGCUUAGAGGGAGGGAUGACAAUCUUGUCUGCAGAAUAGGCAGCCUUUUUGUUUGCCCUGCUGCUCUCUAAAAUAUCUUUACUGCUGAGAACCUAACCAAGAGGGGGGAGGAUUGUUGAGAACUACUGCUAUAUGUUUUAGUGAAAUAGUGGAAGUUUGUUGAUCAAUUGUUGUUUUCAUUGUGAGAUUGUUUGAAAGAUUUGGACGCAAUCUUUUCUUUGUUUGGCCUGGGAUGGAGUUUUUGUGUUGUGGAGGUUGUUGGCACUGUUAUCUGUGGUGAUAACACAGAAAUGUAGCUUGGAAGACUGCUCCUAUUUGAUAGCUUGGAAGACUGCUCCUAUUUGAUUGAGUUAGUGGUUUGGAAUGAAAGGAGUGGCUGACCUUUGAGAGUAUCUUCAAUCGUUAUCAUGACUUGAAUCUGACUUAUUAGAAGUUUAUUUGGCUCUUUGGAAGGCUUCACUAUUUGGUUCUUUGGCAGCGUCCCCUUUCCUUUGGCCACUUGUAUUGUUGAUUUUCUUAGAAUUUCUCUUUCCUUAAGUUUUCCUUUCCUUGUCGCUCCGCACUCACGAUUUUUAGAGGGCACUGAAAUUGAAAAUUAUCUUUACCUGUCCAUGUUAUUUUUUAUCUGCU
rnacentral:lncRNA from 1 species